UAGGUGUCCUACAGGGAAGAAAUGGUUGCAAUCUGCCAAGGUUCAUCAUCCGUCUUUGCUGUGCCAUCCUUGCACCUCCCUUUCUUGUUGGCUGCCGCAUUUCCUAAAUUGUACGGCAUCGUGAUGCACACUGCGUCGUGGCGGCUGCAAGAACUCAAUCCUCAGUAUUGUGGUUUGCGUGUUGUGUAACUUUAUUCAUGGUGGUUUUUUCGGUCAGUAUUGUGGCUUCUCAUUUUAGCUAGCUCUGUUAUGUACUAUUGUCCCAUGUGUGUUAAAUUCUGAUCAGUAAUAGUAGCCAGCAAUGGUUCAUCAUAUUGCGUGUGGGUUCAUUUUCCAUGUUUGAGUAUGUCCAAGUCAAUUAUGUUUAUGGUUGUAUAGUUUGUGUUCUCAUUGUUGUUAGUUUGGAAAAUUGUACUUGGUUAGCUCUCCGCUCUCAAAUAUACAUCCAAAUCAAAGAGCAACGAGAAACAUGGUUAUGGUUCUCAAGUUUUAGUUUGAAAACAUGCUGAGAGCAAUGGCGUACAUGGUUACAGUUCUUAUAUGUCAUUGCUCUAAUCUGAUGAUAUGUGGAUUAUGAUGAAGUAAUCCAGGGUGAAAAGAAUGGAGUCCUUGUGGUUGAUCACCAGUUGAAAAACUAGCCUUAGAAAAGCUGAAGUUUAAAUCAGGAUUCAGUGUAUGAUUGCGAAUGCGGAUUUUAUUCAUUUCGCUUGCGCAUUCUGAUCCAAUGGGAACAAUUACAACACAUGGGUUGAAAUCUGUAUGAGCUGUUUUGGCAUAUUGUCUCUUGGAAAGAAGCCAAUUGGUUGUGCCAAACUAUCCUUUCCAGGAGAUAGAGUUUUCUUUUGCUUGAUUUGUGGUCAGGCCCCUAGACAUGAUGUGCACAUUGAUCAACUCUUUUGCCGGGUGUUGAGCAGCGAUGUGUUAAACAAAUGCAGGCACUGAUUCCUCCUGCAUUUGUUUAUGAGAGUGGAUAGGAUCCCAGGCUUUGCCCUCCUCCCAGUAGCUGGAGAUGUAUUUUAAUUCGGAAGAUUUGGUGCUGCUACUUGCCCUGAUUACUUAUCUGUUACCAGGAUAAACAGCAGCAUAUAUGCUGAAGGAUGCAGUUAACCUUUUAGCAGCAUUUUUCAACAUAUAUGCACAUCGUGGUUUGUUCGUCUGAAAACAAUAAAAUUCACACAACCAGAAGUAACUUGCUCAUCAAAGAAACGACACUAUCGUAUUUAGUUGUAACUUCACAGUAUUCCAGAAGAAACAAACUCAUUUCCUCUUCUAUUGCCUGUUGUAAACUACAGUAUACAUGAGAAGAAAGAGGGCGUGUAUUAUUCUGGUUUUGUUUGUACCAAGGCGCAAGUGAUCUUGCAGCGUCAGGCCGCAAGGUUGAAGUAAACCGUGUAGAAUUCGUCCCUCAGGCUGUAAAACGGCUCCAGGAGGAAGUUCCUCUUUACCCCCUUGGCGACGAAGCUUACUGGGUGGUACUGCCUCAGCGGAGCGGCCUGUGCAAAGCUUGCCGCCUGCUCGAGUAUCCCGCCGAUGCUCUGGACAGAACUCUUGCAGCUAACCUGGAUCUUUGCCCCGGCAGAGUAAUCUGCCCCAGACACCAAGAAGCACCCUGGUUUGGUUCCGAGCUCGAGCGAAACCGAGUUUGGCUUCCCGUCGAGCCCGGGUACUAUGUUGAAGAAGGAACCGGCGCUCUUUUGUGCGGACAAGGUGAGGUUGUUGGUGAUCACCGUUCCUGGCAUGUCGAAUGGCUCGAUCUGCACAGAGGUGUCUUUCAGGGUUGCACCGUAGGUGCCAUGCAGCAUUGCUGCGUCCUGAGGAUGCACCCUGAAUGUCGCGUGGACGGCAGUGUCUGUGCCAUCGACUGCAGGCCGUUCUUGCAUUGUCAGAGAGCCGUUUGAGCUUGACAGGACGAAUGUCCUCCCACUUGAUUCUUGUGUGAAGGUCAUCAGCUGUGAAUUGUGCGAUGAAGGUACUGCAGUGAUCCAGUCUGAAACAUCACUGCCGGUUUUUGCAUCCCAAUCACCGGAGGAGAGACCCGCAAGAACGAAUGGCCCGAAUAGAAUUGCUUGAAGAGAUGCAUACUCCGGCUGGUCAUCUGAGGCAUAGUUAUGAACUAAUAGCUUAGUUGAGAAUCUAGCUAGAAUAACAGUAUUUAGCAUUAGGAAGGGCAGCAAAAAAUCAUGUCCACUAUUAACUAGCUUAUUUUUAAUUUAAUCAUGUCUGGCAUCACAAAUUAUUGUGUCUGAAUUGUGAACACAACAAAUUAACUAUGUGCUACUUCAAGCUUAGAUAUAUCAAUGCAUAUAUUUCGGCGGCAGCUGAAAUUUCCAAAAUUGUUUACCUUUGAUUGCUUCGGUCCUUAGGGCAAUUGGGAAUUGCAGUGAUAAGUGAUCAUUUGAGUUCCACUGUUUGGUGACUGAGAGUAAAGAGCCUGCCCACACAAUAAGAUCAGAUAAAACACUUGCUUCCCCAAAAUUAACGGCUGUAGUUGAAAUGGUACCAUACAUUCAAACGAUUAUACCUGGAGUUACUGAUCCCAAAUCUUUGUCAUUUAAAAUUGCUUUUGCGCCACUGGCAGAUGUCCAUGUUGGUAUUCUCACAUUCAAUGUAGCAGACUGACCAUUUGUCUGCGCAAAAAUAAGGAGGCUAACUUCGCAUGCUCUGAUAUGAAUUUCAUGCCAAAAAAACUCAAGAAGAAUUACCUUCCCGGAAACGGAGAGUGAAACUCGAAAGUUCAUAUCCGAGGAGCUGAGGGGCUCGAGUUGUUGGGUAACAGUAACCCCAGCUGUUUUCCAGUUAAAAGUGCUUGGUAUGUACUGAAUGAUGCUGAGUGCUGGUGUGUCUCCUUUCUCCUCAAAGUAAAUAGAAUCGCCAAGUUUCGAAAAGGAUUCUAUCCCUGCAAAUGCAAAGGCAGAACAUUCACAAUGACUUUCUAAUUUAGAACUACAACCUUCACAACUUAGAGUAGAAAGCAAGAAUUGCUAGGAAAAUGCUGCAGUUGCUUGAUUUUAAUAUGAAGGCAGCAAUGCCAUAUACAGUAGUAAACAGUACUCAGCAGGCUUAAAAAAUUACCUGUUCCAUAACAGCACCAGAACGAAUCAUACUUGGUUCCCCAACCAUGAUAGCUUAUUGCUUUAGACCGUCCAGGUGCCUGGGGUAGCAUGUAAAUCAUCACUCCGGGAUCCGUCCCUCUCUGGAUGCUUAACACACCAUUUAUCAGUGCCCUUUCAUAAUAGUCCGCAUAUGCUAUUUCCUUUGUCCAUCUGAAUAAGUUGCGGGAAACCUGCAUACCGCUUGCAUUUGACACGAUUCUGGAGGAGAAAAUAAAUGUUUCAGAGAAUGGUUUCAUAAUUGUAUACCUUGAGCAUAUUGUAGGUAGUGCAAGAUUCCGCGUUUUCAGUACUCAGAGUCGCAGCUAAACGCUUUGGAUCGGCCCUGAAAAGAGAUUGAGGGUAUAAGCUUCCACCCGAAAGGUAACUAUGGCCAUUCAUUAUCGAUAUUAGGCAUCCAGAGUUAUAUAUAUGUUACCAGAAUUCGCCGGCAGAUGUCCCACCAGUUGCAUAGCUAUGAGAAGAAUUUAUCAUGUCCAUAAAGGAUGUUGCAAUUUGCUGUUUCAGGAAUUACGAUUACGGUCAGCUUUGAUGCAGCUUCACUUGCAGGGAGUCAAAAUGAGAAAAGAAGGAAGUGACACAACUUCAGUAAAAUACCAAUCACAAUCUUCAGCAUGAGGAGGUCAGAGGAAAAACUGAAGUAAACAAAGCAGCAUAACUCCCACAAAAUGAGCACCCUAGUUUAGCAUUCCUUUCUCCGCACCAAAAAUGAUACCAAGAAAACACAGUUUUUGCAUUAAGUGUCUUCUUUGCCCCAGACAAAGCUAUACCAACUUCCAAAUAUCUUUGGAUGUUUACCAAUAUUGCUGAAAAGCCUAGACUAGAAGUGAAAUACUAAUGCCAAUGCUUUCUGUUUGGAAGAGUAGCCAAUAUGGUAAUCUGAACUGCUAACUUUUAUGCUUACACUCAUAUCCCCUCAUAUAAUUUUCCCCAUCAAUGAGUGAGUAGUUCAACUCUCCAGAAAGCAUGAUUUGCUUUACCUUGUAAAGAGCAUCACCGGUGACUUCAUAUCUCAUUUGGGCACCAACGACAACUGGAAUAUGCGUAUUGGAAUGGAAGCCUGAAAUACUGUCAGCCUGAAAAGGAAACACCAUAAAGUAAUUACUCCCAAGGAACUCCUGCAAUAGGAAUGCUGUUCUUGUAGGUAUGCAUUGUAAAGCUGUGAGUUUAAUAAUUGUGCAUAUUACAAUGCACAUUCAAUUGUAGUAGUGACAUAGUUUAUAUUGUAUUUGGUACUCCCUCCGUCCCAAAAUUCUUGUCUUAGAUUUGUCUAGAUACGGAUGUAGUACAUCCGUAUCUAGACAAAUCUAAGACAAGAAUUUUGGGACGGAGGGAGUAUAUAGAAACGAAUAAAUUAAACUGAACACAAAUUCAUAAAAUUACGACAUAGUAGUACAAGAGGUCUCAUUCACUGGAUUAUAAUGACUAUCAUGCAUUACGUGAUGAUGCUGAAUCAUCAUAGGAGUCAGGGCUAGGGAAUCAAGUGAGUAGACCUGAACUGCAAGCAGACCGAGAAAGCACGGUUUGUCAAAGAGGUGGGCCAGUGUCAAAUGCUUCAGAUCAUCCUGUCCAAGUUAGAGAAAUAAGCAACUCUGAACUCCACUCAAAACAUACUUUUAAAAUAGGUAGUAAAGCAGAUGACAAACUACACAUAAUCAGUGAAUCACCGUUAUUGUGUAGAGCUGGUAUAGCACAUCAUUCAUGCCCCCAGUCUCCUCAUUGAGCGAUGCCCAGUGCCUCUCGAUGCUGUAUUUCUGAAUGACAUUCUUCACCCGGUCACUGAAGUAGUUAGCCAUCCCCACAACCAUCUCAAGGGCCUUGGAGUUUCCAGCCACUGUAUACUGAUCGAGAAGCCCUUGCAUAAUCUACAGACCAAAAAAUCGCAGACGCAGCAAGACAAUUUAUUAUAGAAUCACGCAGAACACAGGACACGGAUCACGGAAUCCAGAUCACAGCUCAACACAAUGAUCCACAUGUUGUUCAAGGAGGAGUAAAAGAUUGUAUACCUUGUGGAUUGUGUAGUAAGGAGCCCAAACAGUAGUGAGGGCUUCAGCGCGGUCGAAGAACUCUGAUGGGAAGGCUGACAGGUACCCUGUGCCCAUCUUCUUCUGGCAGUCGUUUAGCACAUCGACGACGGACGACAUCUUGGCACGGAGGGUGUCAUUGUGCGUGCUCGCCCACAUCUUGGCUGUGGCGCUCAGGUAGUGCCCUGCAAUGCAGAGAAGAGCGUCAGGCCAACAAAAGUUCAGUUGAGAUGAGCAACUGGUAUGUGUGAAUAAGCAGGGCAAGAUUGUGGCGGCGCACCGACGAAGUGUCCCCGGAGCUCGACGUUGGGCCCCUCCCACCCGCCGUAGGGCGUCCCGGUCGCCGUGAGGCCGGCCUGCGUGCGGAAGCUCCAGACGAGGCGGUCGGCGUCCAGGAGGAGCAGGUACUCCAGGUUGGUCUGCUGGGCCUGCCAGUACACGGUCCCCGGCUGGAGCCGCACGUCGUGCAGCGACGCCUCCGAGAGGAACGGGUCCGCGGGGCCGUCCACGGCGGCGGCGCCGCCCCGGAGCUUGCGAUAGAGCAUCAGCCAGUCGAACGCCUCGCGCGGCGGGGUGCUGCCGCCGCCGCCGCCGCCUAGGGACCUCCGCGGCAUGAGCUCCAUCCAGGCGGACUCGUCGGUCGGGGUGAGGUGCUGCUCGUGGCCGUGCCCGUGACCGUGGCCACGGGCGGCGAGCCCGGCAGGCAGCCGCAGCUGCGCCGCGGCGCGCUCCGCGUGGGUCGCCACCGAAUCCGACGACGGGAACGUGUUCGUGCAGACCUUCGCCGCGGCGGCGGUCAAGAGCACCGCCACGACCCCCAACGCCGCCGCCGCCGCCGCCACGCCUCGCGCCAUUCCCCUCCCCCCUAAGAAUUCACUCACCAGUCACUCCUUAGCCGUCAACGCUCGACUGCCACCGCCCGGCUGCAUAAUAUAGGGGAAGGAGAGCCUCCAAGAAUCCCCAGACCUUCAAUUAUAGCCGGAGCAAGGCGAGAGGGUUAAGCAACAGGCUUACAAGCGACGGCGACAACGCACUCCGAGAGCUCGGAGACCACAGAAGGUGGGCUGAGUGGUGAUUUUGGCCGGCGAAGAACAGGAAGGGGGGAUUCUUUUCUGAGAAAAAUCGGGGCUCUUUUUUGGUUUGCUGCGGUGCGUGCGCGGGGACGGAUCGGCGCGGAGGAGACGCAAGAAACGCGCGUGGAGGGGAGGCAAUCUUGCACCCAAAGGGCCGCAACCAUGGACGGGAAUGGACCGGGUGAGUGGUGACGGCAGCGUCGCUUGCUUACACGUCGGAGCGUUCGUUGGAAAACGAUGUGAUCUAGGAGUAGUGCCACCGUCUGGAUCAGCAACGGCGGCAGUUGGCGGCUUGGCGCGUCCAUGUGUACCUCAGCAGCGUCGCGGAUCGAUCGCGGUACAAGACGGACGCACGCCGCGCCAGGAAUCGUCAUCUAUUUCUGUUCUUGGAUUUCCAGGCUGAGCCCAGACCAGAGUGGCAGGCAGGCACACGCAAGGAGGAACUCCACUGCCACUGCCGUUUACCAUUAUAGAUGCAGGAGAGCGUGUAGAACACAGCUAUUUGAGCAUCUUUGUUUAUGACCUCAGCUCGCCGGAACUAGCUCGUAUGGUUGCAGUUAGGAUCGAUCGGCACACGAUGCAACUGGGACCGCAUCCACACCGCGAUUUCCGUUCUCGAAUUUCCAACCGACCAGGCAUGAACCAAACUUCGGUUUGGAAUGGACCUUAAGGGCAUUUUUAGCCCAUCCCCGUAAUUUAAUGGGCCUGUCUAUAUCACAUUUAGAUGUGAGAUAAUACCUCACAUCUAACAUGAUAUUAUCCUACAUCAGCAGAUAAAUAAAGGACGUCGAUAACUCCCGACCGUUCGAUCUGCGAGCAUCCCAGACUGAACGUUUUGUUCGGGACGGGAGGGAGCAUGGACCGAACAACAACUCGUUCGGGAGGAGAUCGCCCUAGCGCGAACGCCCCACCCAUCGGGCCCUUCAGGCCUUUUCCUACGAAAAGCAAAACAAAAAAAUAAAUAAAGCCCAUAUUAAGUUAUGACUAGUUUUUUUUAGGCAAAGUCAUGACUAGUAAAAGGCCCAGUUUUUCUGUGCACAACAAAAUUGCCGUGGACUUUUGCAAUUCUAUGAAAAAAAUUACCAUGUUCAAGUUUAUAUUUUAAAAAAUGGCUCAAAAAAAAGGAAGAAGUCAUGGCAAUCUGCAUCUCAACAGUACGAAAAAUUGCCAUCAGUAUGAUGUUUAUAAAAAAAAUGAAAAGUUGCCAUGAAGUGAUAUGGUGAAAGAAGUUCUCUCCAGACACAUAGAAAAUUUUCGGAAAAAGAAUGGAGAAAACAUCUUAAGUUGUGAUGAUAUCGUACAUGUAAUCCCCAUGGCAAAACAAAUUUCAAAGGAUCAAAACGUUUUGCCAUGGCAAAAAGAAAUUUGAAAGAACAAACUCAUCGUGUUCUGAAUCUAAUUUGUAAUGGCCAUGACAAACAUUCUUCGGAUGGACAUGGCAAAAAGACAAGACUAACCAUGGCAAAAAAUGCAUUUAGUUGCCAUGGAAAAAAACUUCUAUCAACAAUACUGAUUUUAGUUGCCAUGGCAAGUUUGCCAUGUUUUUUAACAUCUUAGGUUGCCAUGUUUUUGAAUAUCUUUAUUUGCCAUAGCAAGUUUGCCAUUUUUUUGAACAUCUUAGUUAAAGAAAGUUUGCAUGUUUGCCAUGUUUUUGUACAAACUUAAUUAAAAAAGAAUUUUGCCAUGUUUUUGCACAUCUUAAAUUUGCCAUGGCAAGUUUACGAAUGUUUUAACAUCUACAACGUUGGCAUUUUUCUGAACAUCUUUAGUUGCCAUGGCAAGUUUGCAUGUUUGUGAACAUGUUAAUUAAAAGAAGUUUGCCAUGUUUUUGGACAAAACUUAAUUAAAAGAAAUUACCAUGUUUUUCAACAUAUUAAAGUUUGCCAUGUUUUUGAACAUUUUAAAAUGCAAUGGCAAAUUUGCCAUAUUUUUUAACAUCUUAUGUUGCCAUGGCAAAGAUUGCCAUGUUUUGAACAUCUAUAACUUUGCCAUAGCAAGUUUGCAUGUUUUUGAACAUGUUAACUAAAGAAGUUUGCCAUGGCAUAAAAUGGAGUUAAAUUUGUCAUAGCAAAAAUGGUUUAAUUUUUGCCAUGGCAAAAAUGUAGUACUUUUGCCAUGGAAAAUAAAUUAAAAAAUACCAUGGCUACACAAAUAUAUUUAAGAUGCUACAUAGUAAAACUUGCCAUGUUCUACAAAUGUAAAUUUGCCAUAAUAUUUAAAUUAAUUUUCCAUGCUCUUUACAAUAAAUUUGCCAUGGCAACUAAAAAUAAAAUUUCCAAUGGCAACUAAAACUAAAAUUUGCCAUGUGAAAAAUAAAAGUAUUUUUUCCAUGGCAAAAAAUGAAGUUAAAUUUGCCAUGACAAAAAUGGAGUAAAAAAUUGCCAUGGCAAAAAAUGGAGUAAUUUUUCCAUGGAAAAUAAAUUAAAAAACUGCCAUGGCUAUGCAAGUAUACUUGCCGGGCUACAUAGUUAAAUUUGCCAUGUUCUGGAAAUGUAAAUUUGCCAUCAUAUUUAAAACAAAAUUUCCAUGCUCUUUACAAUAAAUUUGACAUGGAAAUUUAACAAAAAAAAUUGCCAUGGAAACUUAAACUAAAAUUUGCCGUGUGGAUAAAGGUAUUUUUUCCAUGGCAAAAAAUGGAGUAAAAUUUGCCAAACAAGGGCGCGACAGAAGUUGUGGAUGUACUUAACAUUCAGAAAAAUUGCCAUCGUGAUUUACUAAAUAUUCUUUUGCCAUGUUUAAAUAAUUAAAUUUACCAUGCAUCAUAAACUUAAUUUCCCAUGGUCAUUUACUAAAAAUUGCCAUUGUCCUGGCUAAAAAAAUGUUGCCAAGCGAAAUACAUGAAACUAAAAAAAUGCCAUGAUGUACGAACUAAAAUUGCCAUGAUCAAUUUCUAAACUUACCAAGAUCAAAUGAAAAAAAAGUUGCCAUGGUUACUUAAUGAGAAAUUAAAACUUGCCAUGAUCUUUGAACAAAAUUUGCCAUGGUCAAAUGAAAAUAGAGUUGCCAUGGUUAAAUUUAGAAAUUCGCCAUGAUUCCUGAACUAAAAUUUCCAUUUUUAUUUGCCGAAAAAAUUGCCUUCGUCUUGGCAAUAGAAGUUAAUUCGCCAUGUCAAAUAAAUUUUUUAAAUUGGCAUGGCAAUAAAAAAUGUUUGCCCAUAGUAUGCUCGAUCAAUGAUUGUAGACUGUUUCUUCUUCAAUUGCAUGGCCAUAUGUACUGAACCAAUCAACCAAAAAUGCAUGCAUGGACUCGAUGGAUCACUCCGACAGUAAAUGAACAUGACAUUACUGAACCAAAAUAGAGAUUGUCUGAAACGAUCAAUUAGAUUUGAUUGAAUCAACAUGAAAGCAAGUGCAAAAACACAAUUAAAACAAAAGCAUGGCAAAUACUGAAACAACAUCGGUGGAAUGGAUUGAUUAAUCAGACUUGCAGCUUCAACAAAUUUCGUAGCAAUGAGAUGGACAGAUGCAUCUUGUACCUCGAGCAAGCCUGAAAUGGAGGGGUCGAUGACUGACGACGCCGUUGAUACACUCGUAGCAGAAGCGGGAGCGACUGCCACUGCCACUCGACGUCCUCCAUAGCCGCCGGCUCUCCUCAGCGACCGUGUGCGACGACGGGAGCACCCAGCACUUUCCUCACCUCUAUUGAUUAUCUUCUAAAAAUCCAGCAAUCAGCAGGACGGCAACUCGUCUCGGGAAAACUCACAUUAGUUAGUAGAAGAACUGGAACGGGAGAGGCGUGGGCACGAUUCAUACCUCAGAAAGGAGCUGCACAAUUUGUAGAACGCGCGGCGAGAUGUAAGCCUGUAGAACACACUCCACUUCUCUAGAACGGGUGCCGUGCCUACCCCUUCUCCACGCCGGCGGCACGGUGGCCGGUACCUCGUCCUUGCGGCAACGCGGUGGCUUGCAUCUCCUCCCGGCGGCGCGGUAGCCGCCACGCCAUGCCUGUAGCUUUGAGGAGCUUGGCGCUCAUGGCCGUCGCGGGGAACGAGGCGGCUGGCUCCCGCAUGGAAGCCGAAGGCGCAUCUGUUGGGGAACGUAGCAGAAAUUCAAAAUUUUCUACGCAUCACCAAGAUCAAUCUAUGGAGUAAUCUAGCAUCGAGGGGAAGGGGAGUGCAUCUACAUACCAUUGUAGAUCGCGAUGCGGAAGCGUUGCAAGAACGCGGAUGAAGGAGUCGUACUCGUAGCGAUUCAGAUCGCGGUUGAUUCCUAUCUAAGCGCCGAACCACGGCGCCUCUGCGUUCAACACACGUGCAGCCCGGUGACGUCUCCCACGCCUUGAUCCAGCAAGGAGAGAGGGAGAGGUCGGGGAAGACUCCGUCCAGCAGCAGCACAACGGCAUGGUGGUGAUGGAGGAGCGUGGUACUCCAUCAGGGCUUCGCCAAGCACUGCGAGAGACGAGGAGGGAGAGGGGUAGGGCUGCGCCAAAGAGAGAGAUGUUCUCGUGUCUAUGGCAGCUCCAAAACCCCCACUAUAUAUAGGGGAGGGGGAGGGGUUGCGCCCCCAUCUAGGGUUCCCCCCCAAGGGGUGCGGCCAGCCCUAGAUGGGACUUGGGGGGCGGCCAAAGGGGGGGAGAGGGGGGGCGCCCCACUAGAUGGGCCUUAGGCCCAUCUGAGACUAGGGUUUCCCCCUUCCCCCCCCUUCCUGCGCCCUGGGCCCCUUGUGGGAGGCGCACCAGCCCACCUAGGGGCUGGUCCCUUCCCACACUUGGCCCACGCAGCCCUCUGGGGCUGGUGGCCCCACUUGGUGGACCCCCGGGACCCUCCCGGUGGUCCCGGUACGUUACCGAUAGCACCCGAAACUUUUCCGGUGACCAAAACAGGACUUCCCAUAUAUAAAUCUUUACCUCCGGACCAUUCCGGAACUCCUCGUGACGUCCGGGAUCUCAUCCGGGACUCCGAACAACAUUUGGUAACCACGUAUAUCUAUUCCCUAUAACCCUAGCGUCAUCGAACCUUAAGUGUGUAGACCCUACGGGUUCGGGAACCAUGCAGACAUGACCGAGACGUUCUCCGGCCAAUAACCAACAGCGGGAUCUGGAUACCCAUGUUGGCUCCCACAUGUUCCACGAUGAUCUCAUCGGAUGAACCACGAUGUCGGGGAUUCAAUCAAUCCCGUAUACAAUUCCCUUUGUCAAUCGGUAUGUUACUUGCCCGGGAUUCGAUCGUCAGUAUCCCGAUACCUUGUUCAAUCUCGUUACCGGCAAGUCUCUUUACUCGUUCCGUAACACAUCAUCCCGUGAUCAACUCCUUGGUCACAUUGUGCACAUUAUGAUGAUGUCCUACCGAGUGGGCCCAGAGAUACCUCUCCGUUUACACGGAGUGACAAAUCCCAGGCUCGAUUCGUGCCAACCCAACAGACACUUUCGGAGAUACCUGUAGCGCACCUUUAUAGCCACCCAGUUACGUUGUGACGUUUGGUACACCCAAAGCAUUCCUACGGUAUCCGGGAGUUGCACAAUCUCAUGGUCUAAGGAAAUGACACUUGACAUUAGAAAAGCUCUGAGCAAACGAACUACACGAUCUUGUGCUAGGCUUAGGAUUGGGUCUUGUCCAUCACAUCAUUCUUCUAAUGAUGUGAUCCCGUUAUCAACGGCAUCCAAUGUCCAUGGUCAGGAAACCGUAACCAUCUAUUGAUCAACGAGCUAGUCAACUAGAGGCUUACUAGGGACAUGGUGUUGUCCAUGUAUCCACACAUGUGUCUGAGUUUCCUAUCAAUACAAUUUUAGCAUGGAUAAUAAACGAUUAUCAUGAACAAGGAAAUAUAAUAAUAACCAAUUUAUUAUUGCCUCUAGGGCAUAUUUCUAACAGCAUCAGGGUGGUCCACGUGCCUCGCCGGAUCUGCCCUCCCCCUGCGUCGCCCACCGCCUCUCCCCCCAUCUCCCUCUCGCCGCUCCUCUCUGCCCGCACCAAACACCAACUUCGACGGCAUCGGCGGCGCACGAGGUGGAUAGGUAGUGGCCGCACCUCCUCAUCGCCCAGCCGCCGCCGGAACUUGCCAUGCUCCUCCCCGAGGCCGCCGCGGGACCUGCAGGGCUCCUCUCCGCGCGCCUGCCGCAGGCUUGCCAUGCUCCCCACGCGGGGGCGUCGAGGGAACUGCGUGCCUCCUCGUCUCGCGGUAGCCGUCGAUGCGCGCGGCGGAGGCGGUGGUCGGGGCGGGAGGUGAUCUGCGGUCGAUGUUGGCGAUGGCGGCGAGAAUGCGCAGCAGAGUGAGCAGAGGUGUGGUUGGGGAAAGGAUAAGAGAGAGAGACAGACUGAGGCGUUCGGGGUCAGUAGUAUCGGGCCCGAACGAGUUUUUUGCGUGACCUGGCAACCCAGCCGAUUUAAGAUUCGUACUGUAGAUCUGACGGCGCAGGAGGCGUUCGGUCGGAAACAUAAAAAUGCAGGGCGUUCGGGAGUUAUCGAUUCCGUAAAUAAAAGUGCCACAGUUGUAUUGGUUGUUUGUUUUUCUUGUUUUCUCAUUGUAUUUUUGUUUGUCGUCCACGACCGAAAAAACCACAAUAAAAGAAUGUGCCACGAGAGCAAGGUUCGAACUGCAGACCCCUUGUUGGUGCACGCAUGCACAAACCGGACUAGAGUAAAAUUGAUUUUCUGCACUGCUAGGCUGCGCCGAGUCGCUGAUGCAUAGUGCGAUCUGAUUCGCUGUGCUACAGUACAAUCUACAGUGACGCGUGGUGUGCUAUAGGAUUUUGUGUCAGCGAUGUACUACUAUAUUGACUCGUCUAUAAUACUCCCUCCGUAAAUUAAUAUAAGAGCAUUUAGAUCACUAUUUUAGUAAUCUAAAUGCUCUUAUAUUAGUUUACAGAGAGAGUAUUUAAAUAGUUCAUCCCACUAACUUAUUUCUCUUGACAUGCAGCCUAUUCACCUCAUCAACCUAUCCACCUCAGCUAUUCUGCCAUGUCAUCGCCUCUCUACAGCAUUCCUCUAAAAAAAGUGGCCUUUUUCCUAUGAUUUGUUUUUCUGUGUGUUCAGUUUUCUAUUAUUAGCAAACUGGCAGCCCAUAAGUCUGGCGUACAUGGCAGCCUCUCUGUUUUCAAUCGUUUUGUUUUCUGCCACUAGCGAACUCGCAAUUAAGGCAGCCCAUCAUAAUUCCAUCAGAAACGAUUGGAUCGGAACUGAUCUAGGCGAUCAACAAAAAAUGAGUCGUCCUCUCCCCUUCCAUGCAUCUUCUUUUGCCCUCCCUAUAAAUUAGCUUGAACUCCACAUGAUCGCAACACUGCUUCUCCUUGCGAUACAUACAGUGGUCAUCGCCUCCAUUUUCUGUAACAGACGAGCCACUCUGAAAGACCAGAUGCAUCGCAUCAUCCACCUCCCGGGCUCCCACCGCAUUUUCUCUAACUAGUAAGCGUGCACGUGCAAUGCACGUAUUAUCAUGUGAUACAAAAAAUAUUACUUGGUCUAAAAACUGAGUGAACAUAUUUGUCAUCAAUCAUGAGUAAACCGACAAUUUUUGAGGGAAAAUUUCAAAGAAGUAUGUCAUGAUUCUCUUAACCAAAUCCCUUUCGAAUCCUUGCCAACAAUGAUUGACAAGUGGUAUAGACAUAUCUUAUUGUGAUUAAUUAACAAGUCAUGCGAAUAUAAAUUUUACAUUGAUAUUAUGAUUUUUUUUUUAAAUAGAAGAAGGCAUGACCAUGAAGAAAUUGAUGCACAACAAUAUGUAUUUUUAAAGGACACCACCGGUUCACCCACAUAAAUGAUAUACAUGUUCAGAAACAUAACAAAAAUGAACAUGAGUAUACUGAGUAAUCAUGCACGCAGGCAUGGCACGGAGAGAGUACAAAUGGUCCCUUCAUCUCUAAAGAAAAGGGGGAAUGUUGUAGUUGGGUUCACUGGAUCUUCUCCGCCGACAACUUCAUUGUAGUUUCUGCACAAUAACACAUUCUCUGAAGAAAUAUAUUCUGUACACAACAACGGUUUCUCUGAAGAAAUGUAUUCUGCACAAUAGAUUAAAGUUUCUGCACGAUAGCUGACAGCAAGCAAGCGUGCUGAAAGGAGAAAACAUGUAAUUCAAGUGUGCUCCCGGUUAGUCAGUGUAUACUGCACUGAAGAAGCUGCAACACCUACAUCAACGAUCAUGUAUGCAAGACAUACUUGAGUAAUGAUCCAAGAGUAGCAGCAUUGGAGGCAGCAGAGCCACCAAUCAGCAGCAUUGUUGGCUUAAAUUUCCUUCUCAUUGUAUCAUCAAAGACUGUUAUGCUUAACUUUGAAGGCUCAUGCUUGGUGCAGAAUUUUGCAUGGAAUUCCUUUAUUACUUAAGAAAUGAAUAUCAAAUGGAAAUUUAAGCUUAACCAGUGCGAGCAAGAAAUGGCCCAGCUCACUCAGUUUCUUUACCAAAUUGUUUGCCCUAGUUGGAGCUAAAUUAGUUUUAAUGGUAUACUAUCUUGUUCACCCAACCAAUGAAACAAAAUCAUGGCUUUUAAAAACUGGAUGGGGAUCUCCCAUCCAACUUCAUCCAAGCAAUCAAAAGUAUAGUAAGAUAUGGUAGUCGUCCAGUGAACUUGCAUUAAAAGUGCCAUUGUUUUUCCUAUAAAGACCUUGGAUCAUUAGAUGGCAUAUGAAAUACUGGAUUAUAAUAAGGUUAGGAAAAAAAACAAGCUUGGCCAGAGGCACUGGUAAGAAAGCACUCAAGGAGUUCAUUUUUAUUUUUAGAGAAUGGUUCGAAGAAUCGGAUAGUGUUGAAAACUGAUAAAAAUUCAAGCAUUAUUGCUUAUAGUAAAGUAUUGUAUUUAUAACCGUGCGAAGAUUUGAGUUGACUAAGUAAGUUUGUGCUUGUAAGUUUCAGGAAAAGAACUUAUCUGCAGUGAACAUAUAUCCAUGGUAUUCGGCAUAUCACUACUGACAUACAUCCCUUGUUAAAAGACUGCCUGCACUUGAAAACUUAAAGCCUGCAUGGGAGAAGUUUCAUACAAGGGGACAAGUUCAGUUGCUAAUAUAUAGAAAUGAAAUUAGUAAUUCAUGCUUCAAGUCAUAAGUCCCAAGCAAAAAAGAUUGAAGAUGCCGGUCUUUCCAAGAAAAAAAGAAUCACUGCACCACCAAGAAAAUUGUAAAAUUCACACAAAAAAAGGGCAUCAAGCAAACAAAAAAUUAGUUCUAAACGUAUUUUGAUUAUAAACAAUGGAGUUUGAGUAGCAUGAACAUAUAGUGCAGUACUUAAAUGUUUGGAAUUACAGCUAAAUAAAUAACAAACCGUUCCACUUAUAAACAAGGUGAAAAUGUGCAGAAUUUUGCAUUGGAAGGCUAACCAUUUUUAUGUUGUCGGCAGCUGCUGAUGCAAAUGAUUUCAUACAUAAUAUAAAUUAUUUUAAAGGUUCUAGGCUUCCAGCAAUGUACAAAGUAGGAAAAUGAACUCGUGGGUACCAACUCUUUUGGAUGCAGUGUCAUAGACUGAAUAGAUUUCUUAUCCAAGAGUACACAUAAUCUGUGGACAAACAAACAACUAUAAUGGAAAGUUUGGAAACAGAAUCAGAUAGAUGAUGGAAACCAUUAUGUGAACAUUACCAAGUUUGAUAGUUCAAUUACCAGCUAAUAUCCCAGAACUUGAUGGCUAUACCAUGUGUGCUUGACAAUUUGUGGAUCCUGAGGAGGGAAAAAACUUAAUUAACAGUAGGUACUGAAAUGCACACGAAUAAAUCAGAUAUGUUUGCAUGUAUUAGUAUCAUUGUUGAACCAACCCGGAAAAAACACAAUUUGUGGAAUACUUACUCAAGCAAGGUACAGGCCCGGUCUAAGUAAUCACACAGUGACUAAAUCAGAUUUGUUUGCAUGUAUCAGGAUCAUUCUCUAGCGAUCUAGAUUCAACUUUAAGAUGAAAAGUGAAAACUCAAAGGUGUCACACAUCAGAUUUACUUGACCUACAAUGUGACUAAGAAUCUGAAGACUCCAAUUAGCAACUUGACAAGCAAUUAGAUGAAGAUAAUACUCAAGCUCCUGAAACAAAAAAAUGUCAGCAGUGUACAUAUCGUUGCUGAAUCAACCACUGCCACAGAAUGGGGACGGCGCAGUGACGCAGGUCUCGUGCCCGCCCGUCGAGAUCCCCUCUAUGCCAAACCCCUCCGCCUCCAUGCCCUUGCGCUGCACCUGGGCGGGCUGGCGGCAGUACUGCUCCUCGACGGUAAGCGCCCGGUCGAGCAGCGAGAGCAGCCCGCUCCCCGCGCCCCACUGGGCGUGGAGACGGUUGAGGCGGCUGCCUCCUUCGAGGCGAGCGUCUGGAAGCGUGAGGCUGUGGUGAGGUGCAGCGGGGCGAGGGAGAAGAGAGAGAUGUCGGUCGUCCUUCCUUGCUCUGCCACGCACUUGCCCUGUGGGAUGGGAGAAGAGGGAAAUAGGGGAGAGAUGGCCUCCGUCGCGUGGAGCGGCGGGGGCGACGGGCGACGGGGCCAUGGGGAGAGGUGUGCGGGGGAGGGGAGGGAGCAGUUUUUUUUCGGGAGAAAGAGGUGGAGAGAAAAAAAAAGGAAAAUUUCGGUUGUUAAGGGGAUCGUAUCACGGACUAACUGCAACGCAAAUCAAGGAGAGGGCCGCGCGGAUUAGAGGGAUGCGAGCGCGGACGAUUGACAAACCAGCGCGUCUGCUUGGCAGAAACAUUUGAUCCGAGACGUUGAUUUGGGUGACAGAUAAUUAAUCUAAUACGGACAGUAGGAUGCGUUUAAGUUGAUUUGAUCGAAGGGUUCUGAUUACCCCGUGUACAAUUUGUUGUGUGACUUUAGAGGAGUUUAUGUUUGCUCUUUUAAUAGUAGUAUAGAUUAAUAGUAGUAUAGAUGAACAAAGCAGCGCUUCGUCUGCGCAUCUCAUCUUCAGCCGCCGGCCCGCCGCCGCUGGAAUCGAGCUCUGCAACGCACUACCUUGUCACCACUCAAAGAUGUGGCUCGAUCUCGGCGGAAUCAGGCCUUGAUAUAUUCAGGUGGGGUAUUCCGGCGCGAUCUCAACGAGGCAUGGGGCGUGUCUCCGGCCGAUGCGUGUUUAUCGCCUUCAAGAUUUCGUCUUCAAGGACGGACUACAGCUGCGGUGCACAGAGCGUCGAGCGAUGGUGUCUCUCUGUGACCAGGGUUGGCUGCAGGUGUUCUUCUUCUUUGUCUGCGGCUUCGUCUUCCUUUGCGUAUUGUACUAUUGCAGGAGUACUACCUUAAUACAAGUCCAGUAAUACUGCGGUGUAUACCUUUCAGAAACCCCUAAAAAAUCCAUUCAAAAAAGAGAAAUUUUCGCCAGGCACCAUCAGCGCCUAUUUUGCUUGUUCCAUGCUUCAAGGGCUGGAAUUCCUGCUAUUUAUUUCCCAUGGCCAUUGGCACCUUUAGCCCUAGAACAUCUAUAGUUUUAAGUUAAUUCAAUAUCUCUGCUCCUUUACUACUCUGCUUUGUUGGGAAAUGCGUACUGAAUUGUUUAACACAAGCUUUAAUGCCGUGAAUCAAACUAGCAGUUGUGCAAUUUUUUAAUUAAGCAUUUGAUAGCUCAUGUGGUGCUAUUCCAACACAUUUAGAUUUCGGUGGUGCUCUUGCUGAUUGUCUUAAUGCCUUAGACACUUUAUUUAAAAGGGAAAGCUUGCAAUUCCCUCUGCCCUCUUAUCUCCAUGUAUAAGCAGGUACCUUCCUUAACCUGCUCAAGUAGAAGGUGAUUAAUAUGCUGAUUUCACCUACAUCGUCAUUUAUUGCAGGGGCCUUCUUCUAUUUUCUUUCAGCUGCAAUAUUUAUUGGAUUUCUCCUAAAAAAAUAUUCGUUGGAUCUGUCAAUUGUGAAGUUCCAUCUUCUUUACAUAUAUUCUCCAUGCACAAUGUUACUGAUCUCUGUCCAAUCUUAGUGUGUGAUCUAUCAUAAUUCUGUAUAGCUUGCAUAUAAUGACCAGACAAAUUAGCGCAUUCUAAUAUUUUGUAGAGAUUUCAUAUUAUCAUUAGCAAGAUCUAGCCUGAGUACAUUAUCAUCCCUUCACGUCAAGUAUCCGCUACUACUAUCCCUUAAUGUCGUUUGGAAAGAGAAAGUAUGUUGGUAAGUGUUCUCACUAAUUAUCAUAUAAGCUACUAGAGAUGUUAAUGAAGACAAGAAAAAACUAAUGUUUCCAGUUUAUUAGCACAUACAACAAUAUGUUGCAACACACACCUAUUUUUACACUUGCUUUUAUAUAUGAACAACUUGGUUAUAUUCUGUAGAACUUAUAUAUGUAAUAACAUGCAGAAGAUAUAUUUAGAACAAGACUCACAUAUAAUACACAAUAAGUAUAUCAAAAUGGCAAUUCCUUUUGUCGCAUCUCCAUUUGUGAAUCUGGUUCUUAGUGUAUAAAAUUAUUAAUGUAAAUGAUACGAGCAAAACCGGAAAUGCCGUUUGGAGGCCGAGCUCCAUGCAGCUCGAUAUCCUGGGCGUUAAUAAUCGCAUCGAGCUGCUCCAGCGACGCAUUUAUGUCAAGUAUUCGAGCUCACAGCUAUAACGCCCAUACUGUAUUCUGUAUUUUCCUACAGUAGCAGCCCAUGUCGUCCACGACUCGCUGACAGGCUGCUCAGAUGUGCGAUCCAUUCACCCAUCACGUUCCUUCGGUGCUAGCAUCACUCGCACACACUGAUGAACAUGGGCACGCACAGGCUCUCAUGUUCAUCGACUCUGCUAGCCCUUGGAGCCGGCUAGCUGGAAUCCGAACGUGGGAUUUAUGAUCAGACCGUUUUGGGAGUCCGAACGUUGGGUGUAUCGAUCAGACCGUGUGGAAAUCAUCUAUUUAUACCUCACAAGAACAACAGUGUCCAUCUCAGCACAACCAAAGCCGAGAUAUAUUCUUUUGUACCACACAGUCGCAGCGGUCGCUCAAAAUGCACAUCAGCUCAUUUUUUAGAUUUUUAUUUAUUUUUCCGUUCUCCAGCCCCUUUCAUCGCGAGGCCUUCUUUUUUGACCCUUUUAUCCACAUGACGGGGCAAAUAAAAAAUCCUUCCCUUUUUUGUCAAGAACAAAACAGCACUUGAACCGAAAUUUCUUCAAUCUCACCACAGCACACGAGAAUAUCUAGUGGAAUUCUAAAGAAUGUCAACCUAUAGUACCUGAUUGCGAAUAAAUUUUAGAUUUUUCAGACUUUAGGUGGGUUGCUGCAUGUGUUCUUCCUGUGCCCAGUUAACCCACAUUUUGAGCAGCGAGGAGAUUUCCUAGAUGCCUUUGGCACAUCCCCCUGGCUGGGCAUGUUGUGCUAUUGUGCAUGUUGAACUCUGCAUAUAGAAUAGAAUCUACUUCGCUUCGAUGGUUGUUCAUAUGGAGCCUUGUCGGGGCUGGUUGUUGGACGCCCAGCCUGUCGUUUGCUCGACGACGCUGGGAACACAUCUGAUCCUUGUGAAAUGGUGUGUUCAGACUCAGUUCGUCCAAAGUGCUGCUUGUUACCAACGCCAGAUCCUGCUGAUUCUGCUGCCAUCUCUCUAUCAGACAAACCAAGCCCAUCCCUCACGGCGACAACUGGCUCGACCAACCCUUCGACAUCUCGCAUACUUCAGCGGCGCAUGAUCCUUCUGGUAGUGCAAAUACUCUAGCGGUAGCAUAUCUCUUGCAUCUCUAGCUAGUCCAUCCCUUGAGUGCAUGUUUAGCAGGGAGUUCAUGCAGUUUAGAUGUAUCAUGACCUGACCAACAGCAGACAAAGAAAACGUCAGUUUCUAGUGUUUUCUAAACAAUGUCAACCUACAGUACCUGAUUGUGAAUAACGAAGAGGAGCUGGGACACCCACCUUAAGUGCAUGGCUGCAAACCAUUUCAUAGUGCUCAAAUGUUCCACACUCGCACCUGAACUCAUCAGCUGUCUCGCUCACGGAGAUCAUAAAUUUAUUCUUGCACCAUUUUUCCCUGGACUGAAAUUUGAUGUGCCUAGCAAUGUACUCCAAGCACGGCUUGACUUCUAUUAGAUCAUACGACCCACACUCAUACAGUGCUUCACCUAAUUUCUCAAACAUUGUCCUGGUAUAAACUUGCGAUGCAUGUGCCUCAAUUGGGAUAUUUUGCUUCAGGACAAUCCCGCCCUGCAAAUGACGCCCGCAUCAAAAGGAAACUAGUUCCUCUCAACAGGAGCAAUGCAACAGCACACAAAAUACAUAGAGUUAUCCAAACUUACUAGUUUUGUCCUUUUCUCCUGGUAACUUUCUUCUGAGUCGCGGUCAAAUUGCAUCUUCUCAUAUUGCCGGAACGCAAUGUUUCUGCAGCACCUCCUCCCUCUUCGUAAUCCAUGUGGCCUCCAGCUCGACGCGCCGGCAGAGGAGAAAUCAAGUCCUCAUCCGCAUGAGCAGUUUCACCCGUGCCGCCCUUAGUCAGUUGCGCGCCGGCAACUAGCUCUUUUAAGACAACUCCGCCGUCCAAACGCGGUACGAGCCUGCACAGGCAAAUGAGAGCCAACCAGAUCUGAUUUUUAGACGGACAAGUCGGGGGAAACUUCAAUCGAUUGAACUCCAGCUUAAAAAAUCUCUCCCAAACAGAGGAAGUAAGGCAAGAAAAAAGAAUUUUUUCUUCAGAAGAUUACCCUGCUCCAGAUUCCUCGAAGAAGAACUCCAUGCCGUCCAUGGUGAGAAGUGGCGCUCACCCCUCCCCCUGUGUGUGCAGGUCGACUGCCCAAACAGGCCACGUCCCGCUAAAUGGGCGUCUUUGCCGCUGAACGGGCCAGGCAGAAACAUUUAUUUUUCCCACCAACCACCCUGUGCCAGCCCGCAAAGUGGGCCAAAUUUAAAGCCGCACAGGGAGAACAUCUUGUGCACGCGCGCAGCAGCAAAAUCGUAGGCCCACGUACAAACCCUGAACAGCAGCAGGUGGCACCGCUGUAUUUCCAGCAAAUAGAGCUCGUAUAUAGCAAAAAGAGCAUAGGCCACGCAUCACAACGCAUUAACGACCGGCGCAGAUAGCGGCCUCCAUGCAGCUCGUCCACCAAAAUGCCCCUCUCCGAGCAAAACACUAUAUUUGCUAUCUUCAUAAUUAUAUUGCAAGUAUUGUGUUCAUUCCAAAAAAAUCAUCUUAAGAUCAUAUAUCCAUAUCAUUCAAACAAAGUUAUUCCAUUUAUGUCUUACCAUGUGCGUAGGACUAAGAAUCCCCGCAGCAACGCGCGGGGGAAUUAUCUAGUUUUCUCAAUGGAGACACCCGUCCAAUACUACGGAUGACUUGACAUGGUAACAAGCACUUGAAUGACAAAGUAAGCAUUUUUUUGUAAGAAAUCGAUGACUAAAUUGUAGAACGAGGUGAAUAGUUUUUUAGGACAAUGUGAAUAACUUUGAAAAAUCACGAUGAACAUUUUUAUAAAGUAAAAAAAUGAGCAUUUUAUAAAUAUGCAAUAUUCAUUUUGAAGAUGUGGUGAACAUUUUUUAAACACAUGAUGAAAAACUUGUAAAACAUCAUGAAAUGUUCUUAAAAUGCAAUAAGCAUUUCAUAUAAGAUGGUUACUAUAUAUAUUUUGAAACACGGUGAGCAUCUUUUAAAAUGCUGUGAACAUUUCUAAAAAAUAUGUGAUGUACAUUUUAAAACAUGGUGAACAUUGUUAAGUAAUGGAUGGACAAAAAAACCGACAAUCAAAAGCAAAAACUAAGAAAACAAUUAUGAAAAUAAAAAUGAAAUAAAAUAAUGAUAACAGGAAAGAAAGAAGGGAAAACAGAAAGAAAGAAAAAAGAAGCAAAAUGAGCGGAAACACAGAAGUUAAAAGAUAUUUUUGAAAUUAAAAAAGUCCACAAAUUUGGAAAAGAUCAUGAUUAUUUUUAUAAAAAACAUGAUUUUUUUUAAAUAUCAUAAUUUUGGAAAAUGAUCAUAACUUUUUAUAAAAAAUAAAAAUGAAAAAAAUCCAUGAAUAUUUUAUAAAUGUGGAAAAGAGACUUGCCGACAAUCCUCCUCCUACCACUAAUUGCAAUCUCGCUAUAGGCAUGCAGUUGCAUGUCGAGGGUGGACUUGCAACUAAGAAAAAAGGGGUUAGGCCCAGCUGCAUGUCGAGGAUGGACUUGUAACUCGGAGAAAAAUGGGUCUUGCCCCACUUACGUAUCGGGCAUGGAGUUGUGACUAGAUAAAACUUAGUCGCUCACCCCACUUGCACGUUGUCGUGGCAUGUAAUUGCGUCAAAAAAACCUGGAGCCCAAUUGCAAGUCCGUGGUGGACUUGCAACUGGGACGAAGAAUAAAAAAUGACGACCUACAAGCGAAAAUGAGGUUGUGCUUGUAACUAAUGCAACAAAUAAAAAGGUCAAAAAGUCUUAUUGCAAGUAGAGGGUGGGCUUGCAACUAGGAGAGGAGAACAAAAAAGGGUCAAUGCUAGUUGUAAGCCGAGGGUGGACUUGCAAACUGAGGCGGAAAAAGCUUCAAGCCUAUUUACGAGUCAAGCGUGGACAUGCAACAGUGAUAAAAACAAAAUACUUGCCUAGUUGCAAGUCGGCGGUGGACUUGCAAGUGGGACAACUACACAAAACUAUGAGACCAGUUGCGAUUCGAUGGCGGAAUUGCAACUAGAACAACUAUGAGCCUAGUUGCGAGUAGAGAGUGGACUUAAAACUGGGAUGGAAAACAAACUACAUUCCCAAUUGCAAGUCAGGGGUGUGCUUGCAAGUGGGAUGAAAAAAACUAUGGGCCUAUUUACGAGUCGAGCAUGGUCUUGCAACUGGGACAACUACACAAAACUACAAUAUCAGUUGCAAGUCAAGGUUGGACUUGCAACUGCGAUGAAAAUAAAUAGCCCAGAUGCGAGUUGGAGGGUGGACUUGCAACUGGACAACAACAAACUAUGGACCCAAUUGUGAGUCAAGGGUAGAUUUGCAACUGGGACAACCACAAAAUUAUGAGCCCAAUUGCGAGUCAAAGAUGGACUUUGCAACUGCAGUGAAACAAAAUACUAGCCCCGAGUCAAGAGCAGACUUGCAACUAGGACAAUUAUAAAAAAUUAUGAUACCAUUUGCGAGUUGGGGUGCACUUGCAACUGGGACAAUAAUAAACUACAAGCCCAAUUGUGAAUCAAGCGUGGACUUCCAACUGGGAUAAAAAACAAAACACAUGCACAAUUGCGAGUGAAUGGUGGACUUGCAAGUGGGACAACUAUGAGUUCAUUUGCAAGUCGAAGGUGGACAUGCAACUAGGACAACUACAAAACUACGAGCCUAGUUAUGAGUCAAGGUCCGACUUGCAACUAGGAUGAACCAAACUAUGGGCCUAGUUGCGAGUCGAGAGUACACUUACAACUAUGAAGAAAAACAAAAACACGUGCUCCAAUUAUGACUCGAGAGUGGGUUACAACUCGGAAAACUAUGGAACUACGAGCCCAGUUGCGAGUCAAGGGUCAACUUACAACUGGGAUGAACCAAACUAUGGGCCUAGUUGCGAUUCGAGAGCACACUUGCAACUGUGAAGAAAAAAAACACGGGCUCCAGUUCUGAGUCGAGGGUGGGUUACAACUCGGAAAACUAUGGAACUGCAAGCCUAGUUGCGAGUCAAGGGUCGACUUGCAAUUGAGAUAAAACAAAUUACGAGUCCAGUUACGAGUCAAGGGUGGGCCUGUAGUUGGGAUAAAAACAAAACAUAGGCCAAGUUGCGAGUCGUGGGAGUGCUUGCAACUCGGACAACUAUGAAACUACGAGCCCAGUUAUGAGUCAAGGGUGGAGUUGUAGCUGGGAUGAAAUAAACUAUGAGCCUAGUUGCGAGUCAAGGACCGACUUUGUAACUAGACAACUACACAAAACUACGUUAUCGUUUGCGAGUCGAUGGUGGACAUGCAUCUGGGACAAUAACAAACUACAAGCCCAGUUGCGAGUCAAGCGCGGACUUGAAACCUACAUGAAAAACAAACAGUUAAAAACACAUGUGCAGUUGCGAGUCGACGGUGGACUUGCAACUGGACAACUACGAGCCCAUUUAAGAGUCCAAGUGUGCUACAAAUUCUCCAAUAGGCCAUAAAAUACGGGCAACAAAACCGAACAAAGAAGAAACAUACCGUGCCCUCCAAACAAUGACAUAUAUGGGCCCAUAUGAAAAGAAACACAAGAAUAGACUAGCACAGAAAAGGACAAGAGGACGCACGACAAGAAAGAAUGAGUUGACAUAGGCGCGCAUGGUCGAAUUUAUGUGAACAUUAAAGCAAAUAAAUUGAAUGGUUACAGACUUAGAUGAGACAUCACUCAAUCUCAUCUCGCAAAUCCAAAAGAAGAAGAAGAAAAAGUCUAAUUACACUCAGCUACACAGUAAAACCAAAAUAAACAAAAACCUGCAAUAUAAAGACAUGUGGCCCUCCAAAAAAAGCUACAACCCACAAAAUAAACCCAAUACAAAAUACAUAAAAACUGUCGACUAAAAAAGUCAUAUUGGGCCUCACUGCUUCAGAUGGACGAACAGAAAAUACGGCACAACAACAAUGAGCACGACUUAGAAGCAUGUAUAAUUGCAACUAGAAAAAAAGAGGCGAGCCCAUUUGCCUGUCGAGAAUAGAAUUGCACCUAGUGCAAAACAAUCUGUUGUGCCCAGUUGCAUGUUAAGGAUGAACUUGUGAUACGUCUCCGUCGUAUCUAAUUUUCCAUACACUUUUGCUCUUGUUUUGGACUCUAAUUUGCAUGAUUUGAAUGAAACUAACCCGGAGUGAUGUUGUUUUCAGCAGAAUUGCCAUGGUGUUGUUUUUGUGCAGAAAUAAAAGUUCUCGUAUUGCCAUGGCACGAAAUGGCUAUGAAAAUGCCAUGAUAUGUAUGUAUGGUGGCUAUUUUGAGGAAGAUAUAAGGAGGCUUAUGUGUGAUAGAGCAUGUUAUAUCAUAGGGUUUGGAUGCAUUGGGAAGUUUGCACCGACUCUCGAGGUGAGAAAGGGCAAUGCACGGUACCGAAGAGGCUAGCAAAUGGCGGAAAGGUGAGAGAGCGUAUAAUUCAUGGAUUCACAUUAGUCAUAAAGAACUCACGUACUUAUUGUAAAAGUUUAUUAGACCUCGAAGCAAAGUACUACUCACAUGCCCCUAGAGGAUAGAUUGAUAGGAAAAGACCAUCGCUCAUUGAGUAACACUCAAUAUGAAUCAUGCUCCAACUUCAUCGCAUAACUAGAGACUAUACGUGCACACGGUUCGAGAAAUCUUCAGAUUCAACGAUUUAUCAUCCAAUUUAUCGCUACUCAUGGGGUGACCGAUAAGAUUAUGCCUUAUCUUCACGGUUUAUCGUUUGGGCCAAUUUAUCACUCUGACAAGCGAUUUAUCAGGAAUCUACUGAUAAAUCAGGCCUAUUCCUAACAUUAUGUUUGCAAAAACUAUGUUUCUUUGUGUUUUUUGGACCUUGUUUUGCAAUAUAUACUAUUGUCCUAUUUUGUUUGUCAUUAUAACAGGAUUCAAAGGCUAGGAAUCAAGGUAACACUUCUGUCCAAUAUUGUUUUGGUGUUGAAUAUAACAUAUUUUAGUAUUGGGAACCUGGGAUUUGCAAAAAAUGGCUGAUUAAUAGUCGACCGAUAAAAUCGAUUAAUCGACCGAUUUCCGAUUAAUCUCUAAUCCCCAGCUGACCGAGACGCUAAUGAUAAGCGGAGAGUGCGUAUAAUCCAUGGGCUCACAUUAGUCAUAAAGAACUCACGUACUUAUUGUAGAAGUUUAUUAGACCUCGAAGUAAAGUCCUAGUCGCAUUCCCCUAGGGGAUAGAUUGGUAGGAAAAAACCAUCGCUCGUCCCCGACCGCCACUCAUAAGGUAACACUCAAUAUGAAUCAUGCUCCAACUUCGUCGCAUAACUAGAGACUAUACGUGCAUGCUUCGGGAAUCACAAACCUUAACACCAAUAUUCUUUCUAAACCACAAUCAUUCACUAGUACCCCCACAUAUUACCAUCUUAAUAUCGCAAAACUAUUGCAAGAAAUCAAACUUAUCAUAUUCAGUGAUCUACAUGAAAGUUUUUAUUAUAUCCCUCUUGAAUACCUAUCAUAUCAGGAUCAAUUUCAUAACAUGUGCAUAUUGCCAUUACUAUUUAUUAGACUCUCAAAAAGAUAUCACUACUGGAAUCAGAAGAUUUGCCGUCCGCCCCAUCUUUGCCGUCAGCUAGGGGACGACAAAGAAAGGCUUUGCCAUCAGCCAACGGUAAGCCGACGGCAAAGAGGCAGCAGACGGCAAAGAAAGGCUUUGCCAUCAGCCAACAAUUUGCCGCCAGCUAGUGGACGGCAAAGAAUCUUUGUCGUCCGCUAGCUGACGGCAAAGAGGGUGUUGGGCCCACUAGCUGUUAAGCCCUAACAGGCCCCUCUUUGCCGUCCGCCAGCGGACGACAAAGCGUCCGUUGCCCUCAGCUUGCGGACGACAAAGGUGACACGGACGGCAAAGCUUCAAAAUAACUUAACGGCCCGCGCUCCCACCGUCGCCCUAUCUCUUUCUCCUCUCCGCCCGACGAGCAGCGCCGCCGCCCCGUCGUCCCAUCGGCCCACCACCUCUUCAUCGCCGCCCCCCCGCCCGGUCGCCGCCCCCUCCCUGCCUCCCCACCCACUCCCGAGCCUCCCCGCCGCAGCCGUCGGUGGACCGCCCCCGAGGAGCGCCGCCCGUCGCUGCCCCCUCCCCGCCCCGUCGCCACCGUGCCNNNNNNNNNNNNNNNNNNNNNNNNNNNNNNNNNNNNNNNNNNNNNNNNNNNNNNNNNNNNNNNNNNNNNNNNNNNNNNNNNNNNNNNNNNNNNNNNNNNNNNNNNNNNNNNNNNNNNNNNNNNNNNNNNNNNNNNNNNNNNNNNNNNNNNNNNNNNNNNNNNNNNNNNNNNNNNNNNNNNNNNNNNNNNNNNNNNNNNNNNNNNNNNNNNNNNNNNNNNNNNNNNNNNNNNNNNNNNNNNNNNNNNNNNNNNNNNNNNNNNNNNNNNNNNNNNNNNNNNNNNNNNNNNNNNNNNNNNNNNNNNNNNNNNNNNNNNNNNNNNNNNNNNNNNNNNNNNNNNNNNNNNNNNNNNNNNNNNNNNNNNNNNNNNNNNNNNNNNNNNNNNNNNNNNNNNNNNNNNNNNNNNNNNNNNNNNNNNNNNNNNNNNNNNNNNNNNNNNNNNNNNNNNNNNNNNNNNNNNNNNNNNNNNNNNNNNNNNNNNNNNNNNNNNNNNNNNNNNNNNNNNNNNNNNNNNNNNNNNNNNNNNNNNNNNNNNNNNNNNNNNNNNNNNNNNNNNNNNNNNNNNNNNNNNNNNNNNNNNNNNNNNNNNNNNNNNNNNNNNNNNNNNNNNNNNNNNNNNNNNNNNNNNNNNNNNNNNNNNNNNNNNNNNNNNNNNNNNNNNNNNNNNNNNNNNNNNNNNNNNNNNNNNNNNNNNNNNNNNNNNNNNNNNNNNNNNNNCUUGACCCUCGACACGACACCCCGACCCUCGACACGACACCACCGACACCCCGACCCCCGAGGGUUGCCGAGGGGCACCCCGACCCUGACACAGCACCCCGACACGACACCACCGGCACCCCGACCCCCGACACGACAACCCGAGAUCCCGACAAGGCACCCCCGACACCGACACCCUGAUAUUAAUUAGUUAAUGUUAUUAGGUAUUUAAUUUUUUAUUAUGUUCAUGAUGAUGAUACACACUAUUUUUUAAUUAUGUUUAUGUUGUACUAAUUUCGUUUACUCUUUGUCAUUGCAGGUGUUGACAGAUGGUGGGCUUGGGUCGAGAGUGCUCCGAGCCUCCUACCUCAGCGCGUGGGAGGGGUGUUGUUAUUGCACCCCAGAACCUUCGGAGAGCACAUCAUGCAUACACCCCCAGCACCUUCGGCGGGCGCUUCUUCUUCAGCCGGGAGAAGAGGUCUGCUACCUCUUGAGCACUGUGUUCGCUUUCCCUUGAAGAGAAAAGGGUGAUGCAGUAAAGUAGCAUAAGUAUUUCCCUCAGUUUUUUAGAACCAAGGUAUCAAUCCAGUAGGAGACCACGCUCAAGUCCCACGCACCUACAUAAACAAAUAAGAACCUUGCAACCAACGCGAUAAAGGGGUUGGCAAUCCCUUCAUGGCCACUUGCAAAAGUGAGAUCUGAUAGAGAUGAUAAGAUAAUAUUUUUGGUAUUUUUAUGAUAAAGAGUAAAAGUAAAGAUUGCAAAGUAAAAUAAACGACGACAAAAAUAGCUAGUCGACAGGAGAUUAAUAUGAUAGAAAAUAGACCCGGGGGCCAUAGGUUUCACUAGUGGCUUCUCUCAAGAGCAUAAGUAUUACGGUGGGUAAACGAAUUACUGUAGAGCAAUUGAUAGAAUUGAGCAUAGUUAUGAGAAUAUCUAGGUAUGAUCAUGUAUAUAGGCAUCACGUCCGUGACAAGUAGACCGACUCCUGCCUGCAUCUACUACUAUUACUCCACACAUCGACCGCUAUCCAGCAUGCAUCUAGAGUAUUAAGUUCAUAAGAACGGAGUAACGCUUUAAGCAAGAUGACAUGAUGUAGAGGGAUAAACUCAAGCAAUAUGAUAUAAACCCCAUCUUUUUAUCCUCGAUGGCGACAAUACAAUACGUGUCGUUUCCCCUACUGUCACUGGGAUCGAGCACCACAAGAUUGAACCCAAAGCUAAGCACUUCUCCCAUUGCAAGAAAGAUCAAUCUAGUAGGCCAAACCAAACUGAUAAUUCGAAGAGACUUGCAAAGAUAACCAAUCAUACAUAAAAGAAUUCAGAGGAGAUUCAAAUAUUGUUCAGAGAUAAUCUUGAUCAUAAACCCACAAUUCAUCGGAUCUUGACAAACACACCGCAAAAGAAGAUUACAUCGAAUAGAUCUCCAAGAGAAUCGAGGAGAACUUUGUAUUGAGAUCCAAAGAGAGAGAAGAAGCCAUCUAGCUAAUGACUAUGGACCCGAAGGUCUGAGGUAAACUACUCACACACCAUCGGAGAGGCUAUGGUGUUGAUGUAGAAGCCCUCCGUGAUCAAUGCCCCCUCCGGCGGAGCGCCGGAAAAGGCCCCAAGAUGGGAUCUCACGGGUAAAGAGAGUUGCGGCGGUGGAAAUAGGAUUUUUUUCUCCGUAUCUGAUGUUUCCAGGGUAUAUGAGUAUAUAUAGGCGAAGGAGGUCGGUCAGGAGAGCUACAAGGGGCCCACGAGGGUGGGGGGCGCGCCCAGGGGGGCAGGCGCGCCUCCCUGCCUCGUGGCCUCCUUGUUGAUUGCUUGACAUCCACUCCAAGUCCUAUGGAUCACGUUUGUUCCGAAAAUCACGUUCCCGAAGGUUUCAUUCCGUUUGGACUCCAUUUGAUAUCCUUUUCCUUCGAAACACUGAAAUAGGCAAAAAACAGCAAUUUGGGCUGGGCCUCCGGUUAAUAGGUUAGUCCCAAAAAUAAUAUAAAAGUGUAUAAUAAAGCCAAUUAAACAUCCAAAACAGAAUAUAUAAUAGCAUGGAACAAUAAAAAAUUAUAGAUACGUUGGAGACGUAUCAAGCAUCCCCAAGCUUAAUUCCUGCUCGUCCUCGAGUAGGUAAAUGAUAAAAACAGAAUUUUUGAUGUGGAAUGCUACUUAGCAUAAUUUUCAAUGUAAUUCUCUUAAUUGUGGCAUGAAUAUUCAGAUCCGAAAGAUUCAAGAUAAAAGUUUAAUAUUGACAUAAAAAUAAUAAUACUUCAAGCAUACUAACUAAGAAAUUAUGUCUUCUCAAAAUAACAUGGCCAAAGAAAGUUCAUCCCUACAAAAUCAUAUAGUUUGGUCAUGCUCCAUUUUCUUCACACAAGAAUGCUCUCAUCAUGCACAACCCCGAUGACAAGCCAAGCAAUUGUUUCAUACUUUAGUAAUCUCAAACAUUUUCAACUUUCACGCAAUAUAUGAACGUGAGCCAUGAAUAUAGCACUAUGGGUGGAAUAGAAUAUGAUGAUGGGGGUUAUGUGGAGAAGACAAAAAAGGAGAAAGUCUCACAUUGACGCGGCUAAUCAACGGGCUAGGGAGAUGCCCAUCAAUUGAUGUCAAUGCAAGGAGUAGGGAUUGCCAUGCAACAGAUGCACUAGAGCUAUAAAUGUAUGAAAGCUCAACAAAAGAAACUAAGUGGAUGCGCAUCCCAACUUGCUUGCUCACGAAGACCUAGGGCAUUUGAGGAAGCCCAUUGUUGGAAUAUACAAGCCAAGUUCUAUAAUGAAAAAUUCCCACUAGUAUAUGAAAGUGACAAAACAAAAGACUCUCUAUCAUAAAGAUCAUGGUGCUACUUUGAAGCACAAGUGUGGAAAAAGGAUUGUAGCAUUGCCCCUUUUUAUUUUCUCUCUUUUUUUCUUUUUUUCUUUUUUUGGGCCUUUCCUUUUUUAUUUAGCCUUUAUCUUUUUUUGGGACAAUGCUCUAUGAAUGAUGAUCAUCACACUUCUAUUUAUUUACAACUCAAUGAUUACAACUCGAUACUAGAACAAAGUAUGACUCUAUAUGAAUGCCUCUGGCGGUGUACCAGGAUGGGCAAUGAAUCAAGAGUGACAUGUAUGAAAUAAUAUGCAUGGUGGCUUCGCCACAAAUACGAUGUCAACUACAUGAUCAUGCAAGGCAAUACGACAAUGAUGAAGCGUCUCAUGAUAAAUGGAAUGGUGGAAAGUUGCAUGGCAAUAUAUCUCAGAAUGGCUAUGGAAAUGCCAUAAUAGGUAGGUAUGGUGGCUGUUUUGAGGAAGAUAUAAGGGGGUUUAUGUGUGAUAGAGUGUAUCGUAUUACGGGGUUUGGAUGCACCGGCGAAGUUUGCACCAACUCUCAAGGUGAGAAAGGGCAAUGCACGGUACCGAAGAGGCUAGCAAUGAUGGACGGGUGAGAGUGCGUAUAAUCCAUGGACUCAACAUUAGUCAUAAAGAACUCACAUACUUAUUGCAAAAAUCUACAAGUCAUCAAAAACCAAGCACUACGCACAUGCUCCUAGGGGGAUAGAUUGGUAGGAAAAGACCAUCGCUCGUCCCCGACCGCCACUCAUAAGGAGGACAAUCAAAGAACACCUCAUGUUUCAAAUUUGUUACACAACGUUUACCAUACGUGCAUGCUACGGGACUUGCAAACUCCAACACAAGUAUUUCUCAAAUUCACAAUUACUCAACUAGCACAACUUUAAUAUCACUACCUCCAUAUCUCAAAACAAUCAUCAAGCAUCAAACUUAUCUUAGUAUUCAACGCACUUAUAAGAAAGUUUUUAUUAAUCUUGGAUGCCUAUCAUAUUAGGAAUAAUUUCACAAUUUAAGCAAAUUACCAUGCUGUUUUGUAGGACUCUAAAAAUAAUAUAAGUGAAGCAUGAGAGAACAAUAAUUUCUAUAAAACAAAACCACCACCGUGCUCUAAAAGAUAUAAGUGAAGCACUAGAGCAAAAACUAUAUAGCUCAAAAGAUAUAAGUGAAGCACAUAGGGUAUUCUAAUAAAUUCCGAAUCUUGUAUGUCUCUCUCAAAAGUGUAUUCAGUGAGGAUGAUUGUGGUAAACUAAAAAAGCAAAGACUCAAAUCAUACAAGACGCUCCAAGCAAAACACAUAUCAUGUGGUGAAUAAAAAUAUAGGAUCAAGUAAAGUUACCGAUGGACGAAGACGAAACAGGGGAUGCCUUCCGGGGAAUCCCCAAGCUUAGGCUUUUGGUUGUCCUUGAAUUUUACCUUGGGGUGCCUUGGGCAUCCCCAAGCUUAGGCUUUUGCCAGUCCUUGUUCCAUAAUCCAUCAAAUCUUUACCCAAAACUUGAAAACUUCACAACACAAAACUCAACAGAAAAUCUCAUGAGCUCCGUUAGCGAAAGAAAAGAAAACACCACUUCAAGGUACUGUAUUGAACUCAUUCUUUAUUUAUAUUGGUACUAAACCCACUGUAUUCCAACUUCUAUAUGGUUUAUAAACUCUUUUACUAACCAUAGACUCAUCAACAUAAGCAAACAACACACGAAAAACAGAAUCUGUCAAAAACAGAACAGUCUGUGGUAAUCUGUAUCUAACGCAAACUUCUGUAACACAGAAAAAUCUACCAAAAUAGGAAGACCUAGAUAAUUUGUUUAUUGAUCUAAUGCAAUUGGAAUCAGUAUUUUAUCACGUUCUGGCGAUUUUUAACAAUUGUUUUCGUGAACAGAAAGUUUCUGGAAUUUUCAGCUAGACCAAAUAACUAUCAUCCAAGAAGAUGCUAUAGGUUUAACUUGGCACAAACACUAAUUAAAACAUAAAAAAACAUCUAACCAGAAGCUAGAUGGAUGAUUUAUUCCUAAACAGAACUAAAAAGCAAGAAAAUAAAAUAAAAUUGGGUUGCCUCCCAACAAGCGCUUUUCUUUAAAGCCUUUUAGCUAGGCAUUGAUAAUUUCAAUGAUGCUCACAUAAAGACAAGAAUUGAAGCGUAAAGAGAGCAUCAUAAAAAACAUGACAAACACAUCUAAGUCUAACAUACUUCCUAUGCAUAGGCAUCUUGUAGGAAAACAAAUUAUCAUAGCAAGCAAAAAUUAGCAUAUGCAAGGAAGCGAAAAGAAACAAUAGCAAUCUCAACAUAACGAGAGGCAAUUUUGUAACAUGAAAAUUUCUACCACCAUAUUUUCCUCUCUCAUAAUAAUUACAUGUAGGAUCAAAAGCAAAUUCAACAAUAUAGCUAUCACAAAACAUACGCUUAACACGAUCCACAUGUAUGCAAAGUUGACACUCUUCCAAAAUAGUGGGAUUAACAUUAGCUAAAGUCAUGACCUCUCCAAACCCACUUUUAUCAAAAAUACCAUAAUAUUGAACAUUCUCCAAAUAUGUGGGAUCUAAAGUUGACACUCUUCCAAACCCACUUUCAAUAAUAUUGCAAACACUAUUAUCAAUCUCAUAUUCAUCAUGGGGCUUAAAUAGAUUUUCAAGAUCAUAAGAAGAAUCACCCCAAUCAUGAUCAUUGCAACAAGUAGUAGACAUAGCAAAACUAGCAUCCCCAAGCUUAGGGUUUUGCAUAUUAUUAGCACAAUUGACAUCAAGAGAAUUUAUAGAAAAAUCAUUGCAAUCAUGCUUUUUGAUUCAAGGAACUAUCAAGUAUGGGUGCAAUAGCAAUAAUCUCAUGUUUAACAUAAGGAACUAUAGCAAAUUCAUCUCCAUAAAUAUUGGCAUCAUGGCUACAAGAAUAGCAAGCAUCAUGUUCAUCAAGGGAUAUUUCAAUCAAAUCAUCGGAAUCAUAAUUAUCUAUAGAUUCAUGCAUAUCAUUAUUUUCUUCCUCCAUAGACUCCUGCAAAAUAUUAGCCUCUUCUUGGACAACGGAGGAGUCCUCAAUAUAUGGUUUAACAUAGGCAUUGGAAGCAUAAUUAUCAUAACGAUAAUUAAGUAUGGCAAAAUUUUCAGAUUUGUAAAGAGUAGCAUCAUAUGUUUCAAUCAAAGAAGCAAUUUCAUAAGCACCCUUAAAAGCAACAAAUUCUUCAAUUUGUUGAACAUCAUAGUAAUUAUAAACACCCUUGGCAUACGAAGAUACGAUUCCAUUAUCACUAAACUCACAUUGGUAGGGAAGGUGUUUCUUAAUGUUUUCAGAGCAACAAGUAAAAUCAUAAAUUUCACAAAGAUUCCAAGCAUAACACAUCAAUCUGUUUAUUUGAUCCCAUAAGAGUCUCCCCUUUCCAGACAAACGAUGACACACAAAAUGAGCAUGCUCAUCUAAAGAUUUCCCAUCAACUAGGCUAGUUGGGGUUUCAGCACGAGCGCAUAAGGAUCGAAGAUGAUCCAAGUAGAACACUUUAAGUGGAUCCAUAUCAAUAGAUUUUUAGCAAGCAAAGAUGCAAGCAUAUAAAAGGCACAUGGUAACACAAGCAAACAAUAGAUCUGGCGAGAAAAAGGCAAACGAAAAAGAAGGCGAAUAAAACGGCAAGGGUGAAGUGGGGGAGAGGAAAACGAGAGGCACAUGGCAAAUAACGUAAUGCGAGGGGUAAGAGUUUGUGAUGGGCACUUGGUAUGUCUUGACUUGUGUGUAGACUCCCCGGCAACGGUGACAGAAAUCCUUCUUGCUACCUCUUGAGCACUGCGUUGGUUUUCCCUUGAAGAGGAAAGGGUGAUGCAGUAAAGUAGCGUAAGUAUUUCCCUCAGUUUUUGAGAACCAAGGUAUCAAUCCAGUAGGAGACCACGCUCAAGUCCCACGCACCUACACAAAUAAAUAAGAACCUCGCAACCAACGCGAUAAAGGGGUUGUCAAUCCCUUCACGGCCACUUGCAAAAGUGAGAUCUGAUAGAGAUGAUAAGAUAAUAUUUUUGGUAUUUUUAUGAUAAAGAGUAAAAGUAAAGAUUGCAAAGUAAAAUAAAUGAUGACAGAAAUAGGUAGUUGACAGGAGAUUAAUAUGAUAGAAAAUAGACCCGGGGGCCAUAGGUUUCACUAGUGGCUUCUCUCAAGAGCAUAAGUAUUACGGUGGGUAAACGAAUUACUGUCGAGCAAUUGAUAGAAUUGAGCAUAGUUAUGAGAAUAUCUAGGUAUGAUCAUGUAUAUAGGCAUCACGUCCGUGACAAGUAGACCGACUCCUGCCUACAUCUACUACUAUUACUCCACACAUCGACCGCUAUCCAGCAUGCAUCUAGAGUAUUAAGUUCAUAAGAACAGAGUAACGCAUUAGGCAAGAUGACAUGAUGUAGAGGGAUAAACUCAAGAAAUAUGAUAUAAACCCCAUCUUUUUAUCCUCAAUGGCAACAAUACAAUACGUGCCUUGCUGCCCCUGCUGUCACUGGGAAAGGACACCGCAAGAUUGAACCCAAAGCUAAGCACUUCUCCCAUUGCAAGAAAGAUCAAUCUAGUAGGCCAAACCAAACUGAUAAUUCGAAGAGACUUGCAAAGAUAACCAAUCAUACAUAAAAGAAUUCAGAGGAGAUUCAAAUAUUGUUCAUAUAUAAUCUUGAUCAUAAACCCACAAUUCAUCAGAUCUCGACAAACACACCGCAAAAGAACAUUACAUCGAAUAGAUCUCCAAGAGAAUCGUGGAGAACUUUGUAUUGAGAUCCAAAGAGAGAGAAGAAGCCAUCUAGCUAAUAACUAUGGACCCGAAGGUCUGAGAUAAACUACUCACACAUCAUCGGAGAGGCUAUUGUGUUGAUGUAGAAGCCCUCUGUGAUCAAUGCCCCCUCUGGCGGAGCACCGGAAAAGGCCCCAAGAUGGGAUCUCACGGGUACAGAGAGUUGCGGCGGUGGAAAUAGGGUUUUUUCUAUGUAUCUGAUGUUUCCAGGGUAUAUGAGUAUACAUAGGCAAAGGAGGUCGGUCAGGAGAGCUACGAUGGGCCCACGAGGGUGGGGGGCGCGCCCAGGGGGCGCAGUGCGCCUCCCUGCCUCGUGGCCUCCUUUGUUGAUUGCUUGACGUCCACUCCAAGUCCACUGGAUCACAUUUGUUCCGAAAAUCACGUUCCUGAAGGUUUCAUUCCGUUUGGACUCCGUUUGAUACCCUUUUCCUUCGAAACACUGAAAUAGGCAAAAAAACAACAAUUUGGGCUGGGCCUCCGGUUAAUAGGUUAGUCCCAAAAAUAAUAUAAAAGUGUAUAAUAAAGCCCAUUAAACAUCCAAAACAGAAUAUAUAAUAGCAUGGAACUAUAAAAAAUUAUAGAUACGUUGGAGACGUAUCAAGGUCGGUGGAAGAAGAGAGGUGGAGGUAGAGGUGGACGGGGCGCUGGGAGAGGUAGGAAGGUUGUUCUGCCUUCCUCGUCACCACCCCCCGCUGAGUCUCCGGACCACUGGAGUGCUCCGUCUUAGGUGGACCCGUCUGACCUAGACCCGUGUCGGACUCCGGUCCACGAGCCUCGGGUCGACGAGCCUCUGGUCGCCGAGCCUCGGGUCCCAGUGUCUUCCUCCGAGGAGACUCGGGUCCCAGAGUCUUUGUCACACAUGACUCCUGAGACUAGCGACCAUGGUGAUGGUGUCGAGGAGACCUUAUCUGAGGAUAGCUACAGCGAGGGCGAGCUGGUUGAGGAGGGCAAGAAGGUCUACCAGCAUGGUGGUACUAAGCUACCGUCCGUGCCGGCGACCCGCGACCAGAGGUGGUUGAUUCAGCCUAACGGGGAGAAGUAAGUGCAAUUAGUCUUUUUUAACCUUUUGCCUUCAUGUUUGUUCAAAAUAAUAUCUAAUGUGUUGGCCUUGUCAUACUGCAGGGGCUGGAUACACGCAGAUAAGGCCCGCAGGCCCAACCAGGUCCUUGGUACUCUAGUCCGGCACCACUUCCCGGGGUGGGUCACGUUGCCCCUUGAGGGUGAGCUUCCACAGCUAGCACUGACCUGGGAGCUGUACGAGGCUUCCCCGGCCCCGCCGGGGGAGACGGUCGACGGUGUCAUGUGCGAGACGGUGGCCGACAUUGUGAGACCGCGGUUUUGGGUAAUUUCUCCUUUACAUAAUUAAAAAUCAACAGUAUCUAGUGAUUGUACUAAUCAGUGUUGUCUUGUUUGAUUGCAGACCUUCUACAGGUGUCUUGAGGAACACGAGGCGGACGCGGCUAUGGUUCUCGAAGCCGAGUGCAAGCGCCUACUUCAAAACUUACGGCACGAGGCUCGGGUGCAGUGUGUUCGAGACUACUAUGCCUCGACUAACAUCAGGAGGGAGAAGAAGAAGUGUCGCGCCAAGUAUCUGAGUAAGGACAAGUACAUGAAGGUAAUUACCUAUUCUUAUGGCCUUGUACUAGUUUCCUUGAUUUGAUUCGUAGGUGUAGCGCUGAAAUUUCUCUUUGUCUAACUUAGGCGCCCUCGAGAUGGUGUGCGGAUAAGAUGGACUGUUGGGAGAGGUUGGUGGAUGAGUGGUUCUCUCCCCAAUGGCUAGCCGUCCACCACAAGAACAGGGAAAAGUGUGCCCAGAUGCAAGGUGUGCCGCACCAUCAAGGGAGCUCCAACCUGUUUGAGUACGGGGAUCACUGGGUAUGUGGUUCGAGCCCUUAACGAUUCAUGCAAUUUUAUUCUUCAUGCUUGCUUUAAUUACUAAUUUACCCUGUUCCUCUCUUUCAGGAGCGACACCACAAGAAGGAGGUGCCGCCGCUGUACGACCUCUAUGACAUGGCCCAUAGUGCCCCGUACAAGAAGGCCAAGGCAUUCUCGAAGGAUGACCUCGAUCAUCCAGAGAGCUUCACCAACAUCUCCUCCCACGACAAGCUUGUGAGGUACAGAGACUGGGGGAAGAAGAUGAAAGGUGAGGAGUUCAACCGAACCAGAGUACUUUUGAUCCUGAGCUCGUGAUGCUAUCUGGUGAUGGGAGGAAACAUGGGUCAGUAGCCAUUGGGGAUGGACUCAUACGUUGUCCUAGAAGUCUCCCGGAGAUCAAGAAGCGCCAGACGAAGUCACUUCCCGAGAUGAGGCCUCGACCACGGCCAAUGGAGCUCGCUAUCGAGGCUAGGGCCAAGGAGCCUGUGGCGGAGGCAACUAGAUCGGCGGAGGAGAAGGUGAGGGAGAUGGAGGAGAGGAUGGCUAAUCUGUUGGAGGCGGAGAGGAACCGGAAUGACGCGGGUCACCGGGCCCUAUAAGAGAUCCUCGUGGUAAGUUUCUCCCGCAUACUAGCCAAAUCAUGCACGUAUGUUCAUUUCAUUACUAACUAAUAUGACUGACUCGUGAAAACAAAAUGUGCAAUCCGUGUGCGAGAAAACCGGCCAGACCCCUCCGCCGAUGCCCAUUGCUAUAGCGGACACGGUGAGUUUCAUUUGAAUGGUCAUUAGUUACUAGUAUUUACAUUUCAGUAGCAUCAUGCUAACUAAACAUUGCAAAUGAUCUUUCGUGCAACACGCCUCCCACAAAGGAUCGACCGUUCCUUCUCCGUCCCGCGGUGGCGCAACCCCAACUGGUCCUUCACCUCCCGGAUUAUGGUAAGUUUUCCCAAGUGUUUUGCUUAACAAAUGCUUUGUUAGCUAGAAAAUGGCAUAACAACCUAGGAUAGCUCAAUAAUGAUCUAUAGCUAGCUUAGCUAGUUCACUUAUGACAUAAUUAACUCACUUAGGUAAAAAAUGGCAUAACAACCUAGGAUAGCUCAAUAAUGAUCUAUAAGUAUCUUAGCUACUUCAUUUAUGACAUAAUUAGCGCACUUAGGUAAAAAAUGGCAUAACAACCUAGAAUAGCUCAAUAAUGAUCUAUAAUUAGCUUAGCUACUUCAUUUAUGACAUAAUUAUCGCACUUAGGUAAAAAAUGGCAUAACAACCUAGAAUAGCUCAAUAAUGAUCUAUAAUUAGCUUAGCUACUUCAUUUUUGACAUAAAUAGCGCACUUAGGUAAAAAAUGGCAUAACAACCUAGGAUAGCUCAAUAAUGAUCUAUAAUUAGCUUAGCUACUUCAUUUUUGACAUAAAUAGCGCACUUAGGUAAAAAAUGGCAUAAUAACCUUGGUUUAGCUCCAAACUAUCAUAUAAUUAGUUUAUUUUCCUCCAAAAUGACAACAUAACCUUACCUAGCUCCAAAAUGACCGAUUUUAACUAGGAUAGCUCUAAAAUGACCUACACUUACCAUUUUGUCCUACAAAAUGAAUAAAUAUGCUUAGUUAGCUAAAAAAUGGCAUAACUACGUAGGUUAGCUCCAAAAUGACCUAUUUACCUAGCUUAGCUCUAAAAUGACCUACACACUUCGCAUUUUACCUACCUUAGCUAAAAAAUGGCAUUCUUCUUCUAGCUAGUCUUCUUCUUCUUCUUCUAACUAUCAUCUUUCCUAAUUUGCAGAUUUGCUUGAGAUGAGGAAGCAGCUAGCAUUGAUUGGAACUUGUUGCAAACUUUUACUUGUGCUUUGUGCUUCCUUUUUAUUUAUGGAAACUUGUUGGAAACUUGUAUAUAUAUGUUCAUGUUGUUAGAAACGUGUAUAUGUUGUUGGAAACUUAUUGUUGGUAUGAUUGUUGAAAUUAAGUUGAAAUGUGUAUAUAUAUAUAUAUGUGAAAUUUUGUCAAAUUGAAUGAAUUUAGGAAAAAACAGGAAAACAGGGGCUAUAUAGCCACUUUGCCGUCAGCUGGCGGACGGCAAAGGUCUUUGCCGUCCGCCAGCAGACGGCAAAGUGGCCAUGUGGCAGCUACCUAUGCAACCUGGGGGUGGAGGCUGGCCUAUUUGGCCGAUUUGCUAUCAGCCAGCAGACGACAAAGGCCUUUGCAUCUUUGCCAUCCACUGGCUGACGGCAACGAUGCAAAGGCCUUUGCCGUCUGCUGGCCGACGGCAAAGCACGCCGUUAACCACUUAACGGACCUGAACUGCCACAUGUGCCGUCCAGGCUCUUUGCCGUUGGUCAGCGGACAGCAAAGCCCUUUGCAGCUUUGCCGUCAGCUAGCAGACGGCAAAGAGGCCUUUGCCAUAGCCUAUUCAGCCGGACCUGUUGCCGUCUGCUGGCUGACGGCAAAGGUCUUUGCCGUCAGCCAUCCAUGCCUUUGCCAUCAGCCAUGGCUGACGGCAAAGUGCCUGAUUCCUGUAGUGUAUAAGUGAAGCAUAAGAGUGCAAUUAUUUCUUUAAAAUAUAGCCACCGCCGUGCUCUAAAAGAUAUAAGUGAAGCACUAAAGCAACUGCCUAGUUCAAAAGAUAUAAGUGAAGCCCAUAGAGUAACAAAUCGUGAAUAAAUGUGUGUCCCUCAUGAGAUCCAUUAGUGUAAUAAGCAAAUCAUAAACUUUAGGUGUUGUUAUGAACCCAUUCAUAUUUUGUUCUUGCAUAAUACCUAUUGUAUUCUAACUUCUCCAUGACUUAUACCCCCCGAUAUAAUCCAUAGCAUCAUUAAAACAAACAAACUAUGCAAUAGAAAACAGAAUCUGUCUAAGACAGAACAGUCUAUAAUGAUAUGACCAAACACUAUACUUUUGUAAUGAUGACCCAUAAGUAUUGAAGGAAAUAUGCCCUAGAGGAAAUAAUAAAGUUGUUAUUUUAUAUUUCCUUAUUCAUGAUAAAUGUUUAUUAUUCAUGCUAGAAUUUUAUUGAUCGGAAACCUUAAUACAUGUGUGAAUACAUAGACAAACACUAUGUCCCUAGUGGGCUCUACUUGACUAACUCAUUGAUCAAAGACGGUUAAGGUUUCCUAACCAUGGACAUGAGUUGUCAUUUGAUAACGGGAUCACAUCAUUAGGAGAAUGAGGUGAUGGACAUGACCCAUCCGUUAGCUUAGCAUAUUGAUCAUUCAGUUUUAUUGCUAUUGCUUUCUUCAUGUCAAAUACAUAUUCCUUCGACUAUGAGAUUAUGCAACUCCCAGAUACCGGAGGAAUACCUUGUGUGCUACAAACGUCACUACGUAACUGGGUGAUUAUAAAGAUGCUCUACAGGUAUCUCCGAAGGUGUUUGUUGGGUUCCCAUAGAUCGAGAUUAGGAUUUGUCACUCCGAGUAUCGGAGAGGUAUCUCUGGGCCCUCUCGGUAAUACACAUCAUAAGAAGCCUUGCAAGCAAAGUGACUAAUGAGUUAGUUGCGGGAUGAUGUAUUACGGAACGAGUAAAGAGACUUGCCAGUAACGAGAUUGAACUAGGUAUGAAGAUACCGAUGAUCGAAUCUCGAUCAAGUAACAUACCGAUGACAAAGGGAAUUACGUAUGUUGUCAUAACGAUUCGACCGAUAAAGAUGUUCGUAGAAUAUGUAGGAGCCAAUACGAGCAUCCAGGUUCCGCUAUUGGUUAUUGACCGGAGAGGUGUCUCAGUCAUGUCUACAUAGUUCUUGAACCCGUAGGGUCCACACGCUUAACGUUCGAUGACGAUUUAGUAUUAUAUGAGUUAUGUGAUUUGGUGACCGAAUGUUGUUCGGGGUCCCGGAUGAGAUCACAGACAUGAAGAGGAGUCUCGAAAUGGUUGAGAGGUAAAGAUUGAUAUAUAGGAUGAUAGUAUUCAGACACCAGAAGUGUUCCGAAGUGUAUCGGGUAUUUAUUGGAGUAUCGGGGGAGUUACCGGAACCCCCGGGGGAAAGAUAUGGGCCAUAUGGGCCAUAGGAGGGGAGAACACUAGCCCACAAGGGUGGCGCGCCCCCCGCCCAAGGAAGGAGGCCGAAUGGGAGAAGGGAAAGAAGGGGUUCGCCCACCCCCCUUUCCUUCUCUCCUUCCUCUUCCCUUUUCCCCCUCCGGAAAUAAGGAACGGGGGGAGUGUCGAUGUCAAAACCGGCCGAUCUCAGCUAGGGGGUCCCAAACUGUGCGUCUGAGAAUCGAAGGUAACAGGAGGCAGGGGACACGAUUUACCCAGGUUCGGGCCCUCUUAAUGGAGGUAAUACCCUACUUCCUGCUUGAUUGACUUUCAUGAGUAUAGGGGUUACAAGAGUUGAUCUACCUCGAGAUCGUAAUGGCUAAACCCUAGAUGUCUAGCCUGUAUGAUUUGUCUUAGCCUCUACGGACUAAACCCUCCAGUUUAUAUAGACACCGGAGGGGCCUAGGGUUGUACAGAGUCGGUUUACAUAGAAAGGAAACUAAACAUCCGAACGCCAAGCUUGCCAUCCACGCAAAGGAGAGUCCCAUCCGGACACGGGGGAAGGCCUUCUAUCUUGUAUCUUCACGGCCUACCAGUCUGGUGUUGGGAAUCGUAGCAUAAUUUAAAAUUUUCCUACGCUCACCAAGAUGCAUCUAUGGAGUCUACUAGCAACGAGGGGAAAGGAGUGGAUCUACAUACCCUUGUAGAUCGCGAGCGGAAGCGUUCCAAUGAACGUGGAUGACGGAGUCGUACUCGCCGUGAUCCAAAUCACCGAUGACCGAGUGCCGAACGGACGGCACCUCCGCGUUCAACACACGUACGGUGCAGCGACGUCUCCUCCUUUCUUGAUCCAGCAAGGGGGGAGGAGAGGUUGAUGGAGAUCCAACAGCACGACGGCGUGGUGGUGGAUGUAGCGGCUCUCCGGCAAGGCUUCGCCGAGCUUCUGCGCGCGAGAGAGAGGUGUUGCAGGGGAGGAGGGAGGCGCCAAAGGCUGUAGUGUGCUGCCCUCCCUCCCCCCCCUUUAUAUAGGCCCCCAAGGGGGGGUGCGCAGCCCUUGGAGAUGGGAUCUCCAAGGGGGGGCGGCGGCCAAGGGGGAAGGGGUUGCCUUGCCCCCCAAGGCAAGGGGAAACUCCCCCUAGGGUUCCCAACCCUAGGCGCAUGGGGGGGAGGCCCAAAGUGGCGCCCCAGCCCAUUAGGGGCUGGUUCCCCUCCACUUUCAGCCCACGGGGCCCUCCGGGACAGGUGGCCCCACCCGGUGGACCCCCGGGACCCUUCCGGUGGUCCCGGUACAAUACCGAUAACCCCCGAAACUUUCCCGGUGGCCAAAACUGGACUUCCUAUAUAUAAUUCUUCACCUCCGGACCAUUCCGGAACCUCUCGUGACGUCCGGGAUCUCAUCCGGGACUCCGAACAACUUUCGGGUUUCCGCAUACAUAUAUCUCUACAACCCUAGCGUCACCGGACCUUAAGUGUGUAGACCCUACGGGUUCGGGAGACAUGCAGACAUGACCGAGACGCCUCUCCGGUCAAUAACCAACAGCGGGAUCUGGAUACCCAUGUGGGCUCCCACAUGUUCCACGAUGAUAUCAUCGGGUGAACCACGGUGUCGAGGAUUCAAUCAAUCCGUAUGCAAUUCCCUUUGUCAAUCGGUAUGUUACUUGCCCGAGAUUCGAUCGUCGGUAUCCCAAUACCUUGUUCAAUCUCGUUACCGGCAAGUCUCUUUACUCGUACCGCAAUGCAUGAUCCCGUGACUAACGCCUUAGUCACAUUGAGCUCAUUAUGAUGAUGCAUUACCGAGUGGGCCCAGAGAUACCUCUCCGUUUACACGGAGUGACAAAUCCCAGUCUCGAUCCGUGCCAACCCAACAGACACUUUCGGAGAUACCCGUAAUGCACCUUUAUAGUCACCCAGUUACGUUGUGACGUUUGGCACACCCAAAGCACUCCUACGGUAUCCGGGAGUUGCACGAUCUCAUGGUCUAAGGAAAAGAUACUUGACAUUGGAAAAGCUCUAGCAAACGAAACUACACGAUCUUUUAUGCUAUGCUUAAGUUGGGUCUUGUCCAUCACAUCAUUCUCCUAAUGAUGUGAUCCCGUUAUCAAUGACAUCCUAUGUCCAUAGUCAGGAAACCAUGACUAUCUGUUGAUCAACGAGCUAGUCAACUAGAGGCUUACUAGGGACAGGUUGUGGUCUAUGUAUGCACACAUGUAUUACGAUUUCCGGACAAUACAAUUAUAGCAUGAAUAAAAGACUAUUAUCAUGAACACAGAAAUAUAAUAAUAACCAUUUAUUAUUGCCUCUAGGGCAUAUUUCCAACAGUCUCCCACUUGCACUAGAGUCAAUAAUCUAGUUACAUUGUGAUGAAUCGGACACCCAUUGCGUCCUGGUGUUGAUCAUGUUUUGCCCUAGGGAGAGGUUUAGUCAACGGAUCUGCUACAUUCAGGUCCGUGUGUACUUUACAAAUAUCUAUGUCUCCAUUUUGAACACUUUCACGAAUGGAGUUGAAGCGACGCUUGAUAUGCCUGGUCUUCCUGUGAAACAUGGGCUCCUUCGCAAGGGCAAUAGCUCCAGUGUUGUCACAGAAGAGAGUCAUUGGGCCCGACGCAUUGGGAAUCACCCCUAGGUCGGUAAUGAACUCCUUCAUCCAGACUGCUUCCUGUGCUGCCUCCGAGGCUGCCAUGUAUUCCGCUUCACAUGUAGAUCCCGCCACGACGCUUUGCUUGCAACUGCACCAGCUUACUGCUCCUCUAUUCAAAAUAUACACGUAUCCGGUCUGUGACUUCGAGUCAUCCGGAUCUGUGUCGAAGCUAGCGUCAACGUAACCCUUUACGACGAGCUCUUCGUCACCUCCAUAGACGAGAAACAUAUCCUUAGUCCUCUUCAGGUACUUCAGGAUAUUCUUGACCGCUGUCCAGUGUUCCUUGCCGGGAUUACUUUGGUACCUUCCUACCAAACUUACGGCGAGGUUUACAUCAGGUCUGGUACACAGCAUGGCAUACAUAAUAGACCCUAUGGCCGAGGCAUAGGGGAUGACACUCAUCUCUUCUAUAUCUUCUGCCGUGGUCGGGCAUUGAGCCGUGCUCAAUUGCACACCUUGCAAUACAGGCAAGAACCCCUUCUUGGACUGAUCCAUACUGAACUUCUUCAAUAUCUUGUCAAGGUAUGUACUCUGUGAAAGACCAAUGAGGCGUCUUGAUCUAUCUCUAUAGAUCUUGAUGCCUAAUAUAUAAGCAGCUUCUCCAAGGUCCUUCAUUGAAAAACAUUUAUUCAAAUAGGCCUUUAUACUUUCCAAGAAUUCUAUAUCAUUUCCCAUCAAUAAUAUGUCAUCCACAUAUAAUAUGAGAAAUGCUACAGAGCUCCCACUCACUUUCUUGUAAACACAGGCUUCUCCAUAAGUCUGUGUAAACCCAAACGCUUUGAUCAUCUCAUCAAAGCGAACGUUCCAACUCCGAGAUGCUUGCACCAGCCCAUAGAUUGAGCGCUGGAGCUUGCAUACUUUGUUAGCAUUCUUAGGAUCAACAAAACCUUCCGGCUGCAUCAUAUACAACUCUUCCUUAAGGAAGCCGUUAAGGAAUGCCGUUUUGACGUCCAUCUGCCAUAUCUCAUAAUCAUAGUAUGCGGCAAUUGCUAACAUGAUUCGAACGGACUUCAGCUUCGCUACGGGUGAGAAAGUCUCAUCGUAGUCAACCCCUUGAACUUGUCGAUAACCCUUAGCGACAAGUCGAGCUUUGUAGAUGGUCACAUUACCAUCUGCGUCCGUCUUCUUCUUAAAGAUCCAUUUGUUUUCUAUGGCUCGCCGCUCAUCGGGCAAGUCAGUCAAAGUCCAUACUUUGUUUUCAUACAUGGAUUCUAUCUCGGAUUUCAUGGCUUCUAGCCAUUUGUCGGAAUCUGGGCCCGCCAUCGCUUCUUCAUAGUUCGAAGGUUCACCGUUGUCUAACAACAUGAUUUCCAGGACAGGGUUGCCGUACCACUCUGGUGCGGAACGUGUCCUUGUGGACCUACGAAGUUCAGUAACUUGAUCUGAAGCUUCAUGAUCAUCAUCAUUAACUUCCUCCCCAGUCGGUGUAGGCACCACAGGAACAUUUUCCCGCGCUGCGUUACUUUCCGGUUCGGAAGGGGUGACUAUCACCUCAUCAAGUUCCACUUUCCUCCCACUCAAUUCUUUCGAGAGAAACUCCUUCUCUAUAAAGGACCCGUUCUUGGCAACGAAGAUCUUGCCUUCGGAUCUGAGGUAGAAGGUAUACCCAAUAGUUUCCUUAGGGUAUCCUAUGAAGACGCAUUUUUCCGAUUUGGGUUCGAGCUUUUCAGGUUGAAGUUUCUUGACAUAAGCAUCGCAUCCCCAAACUUUUAGAAACGACAGCUUAGGUUUCUUCCCAAACCAUAAUUCAUACGGUGUCGUCUCAACGGAUUUAGACGGUGCCCUAUUUAAAGUGAAUGCGGCAGUCUCUAAAGCAUAACCCCAAAAUGAGAGCGGUAAAUCGGUAAGAGACAUCAUAGAUCGCACCAUAUCCAAUAGAGUGCGAUUACGACGUUCGGACACACCAUUUCUCUGAGGUGUUCCAGGCGGCGUGAGUUGUGAAACUAUUCCACAUUUCCUUAAGUGUGUACCAAAUUCGUGACUUAAAUAUUCUCCACCACGAUCUGAUCGUAAGAAUUUUAUUUUCCUGUCACGUUGAUUCUCGACUUCACUCUGAAAUUCCUUGAACUUUUCAAAGUUUUCAGACUUGUGUUUCAUUAGGUAGACAUACCCAUAUCUACUUAAAUCAUCAGUGAGAGUGAGAACAUAACGAUAUCCUCCGCGAGCCUCAACGCUCAUUGGACCGCACACAUCGGUAUGUAUGAUUUCCAAUAAGUUGGUCGCUCGCUCCAUUGUUCCGGAGAACGGAGUCUUGGUCAUCUUACCCAUGAGGCAUGGUUCGCACGUGUCAAAUGAUUCGUAAUCAAGAGACUCCAAAAGUCCAUCUGCAUGGAGCUUCUUCAUGCGCUUGACACCAAUGUGACCAAGGCGGCAGUGCCACAAGUAUGUGGGACUAUCGUUAUCAACUUUACAUCUUUUGGUAUUCACACUAUGAACAUGUGUAGCAUCACGUUCGAGAUUCAUCAAGAAUAAACCAUUGACCAGCGGGGCAUGACCAUAAAACAUAUCUCUCAAAUAAAUAGAACAACCAUUAUUCUCAGAUUUAAAUGAGUAGCCAUCUCGAAUUAAACGAGAUCCAGAUACAAUGUUCAUGCUCAAAGCUGGCACUAAAUAACAAUUAUUGAGGUUUAUAACUAAUCCCGUGGGUAGAUGCAGAGGUAGCGUGCCGACGGCGAUCACAUCGACCUUGGAUCCAUUCCCGACGCGCAUCGUCACCUCGUCUUUUGCCAGUCUCCGUUUAUUCCGUAGUUCCUGAUUUGAGUUACAAAUAUGAGCAACCGCACCGGUAUCAAAUACCCAGGAGCAACUGCGAGUACUGGUAAGGUACACAUCAAUUACUUGUAUAUCACAUAUACCUUGGGUGUUGCCGGCCUUCUUCUUGUCCGCUAAAUAUUUGGGGCAGUUCCGCUUCCAGUGACCACUUCCCUUGCAAUAAAAGCACUCAGUCUCGGGCUUGGGUCCAUUCUUUGACUUCUUCCCGGUAACUGGCUUACCGGGCGCGGCAACUCCCUUGCCGUCCUUCUUGAAGUUCUUCUUACCCUUGCCCUUCUUGAACUUAGUGGUUUUAUUCACCAUCAACACUUGAUGUUCUUUUCUGAUCUCUACCUCAGCUGAUUUCAGCAUUGAAUACACCUCGGGAAUGGUCUUUUCCAUCCCCUGCAUAUUGUAGUUCAUCACAAAGCUCUUGUAGCUUGGUGGAAGCGACUGGAGGAUUCUGUCAAUGACCGCGUCAUCCGGGAGAUUAACUCCCAGCUGAGACAAGCGGUUGUGCAACCCAGACAUUCUGAGUAUGUGCUCACUAACAGAACUGUUCUCCUCCAUUUUACAGCUGAAGAACUUGUCGGAGACAUCAUAUCUCUCCACCCGGGCAUGAGCUUGAAAAACCAGUUUCAGCUCCUCGAACAUCUCAUAUGCUCCAUGUUUCUCAAAACGCUUUUGGAGACCCGGUUCUAAGCUGUAAAGCAUGCCGCACUGAACGAGGGAGUAAUCAUCAGCACGCUGCUGCCAAGCGUUCAUAACGUCUUGGUUCUCAGGGAUUGGUGCUUCACCUAGCGGUGCUUCUAAGACAUAAUCUUUCUUGGCUGCUAUGAGGAUGAUCCUCAGGUUCCGGACCCAGUCCGUAUAGUUGCUGCCAUCAUCUUUCAGCUUGGUUUUCUCUAGGAACGCGUUGAAAUUGAGGACAACGUGGGCCAUUUGAUCUACAAUACAUAGUGUAAAGAUUUAGACUAAGUUCAUGAUAAUUAAGUUCAUAUAAUCAAAUUAUUUAAUGAACUCCCACUCAGAUAGACAUCCCUCUAGUUAUCUAAGUGAAACAUGAUCUGAACUCAACUAGGCCGUGUCCGAUCAUCACGUGAGACGGACUAGUCAAGAUCGGUGAACAUCUCCAUGUUGAUCGUAUCUUCUAUACGACUCAUGCUCGACCUUUCGGUCCUCCGUGUUCCGAGGCCAUGUCUGUACAUGCUAGGCUCGUCAAGUCAACCUAAGUGUAUUGCGUGUGUUCCGAGGCCAUGUCUGUACAUGCUAGGCUCGUCAACACCCGUUGUAUGCGAACGUAAGAAUCUAUCACACCCGAUCAUCACGUGGUGCUUCGAAACGACGAACCUUCGCAACGGUGCACAGUUAGGGUGAACACUUUCUUGAAAUUAUUAUAAGGGAUCAUCCUACUUGCUACCGUCGUUCUAAGCAAAUAAGAUGCAAAAACAUGAUAAACAUCACAUGCAAUCAAAUAGUGACAUGAUAUGGCCAAUAUCAUCAUGCUCCUUUGAUCUCCAUCUUCGGGGCACCAUGAUCAUCUUCGUCACCGGCAUGACACCAUGAUCUCCAUCAUCAUGAUCUCCAUCAUUGUGUCUUCUUGAAGUUGUCACGCCAACGAUUACUUCUACUUCUAUGGCUAACCGUUUAGCAUCAAAGUAAGGUAAAUUACAUGGCGUUAUUCAAUGACACGCAGGUCAUGCAAAAUAAUAAAGACAACUCCUAUGGCUCCUGCCGGUUGUCAUACUCAUCGACAUGCAAGUCGUGAUUCCUAUUACAAGAAUAUGAUCAAUCUCAUACAUCACAUAUAUCAUUCAUCACAUCUUCUGGCCAUAUCAUAUCACAUAUAUCACUUGCUGCAAAAACAAGUUAGACGUCCUCUAAUUGUUGUUGCAAGUUUUUACGUGGUUUGUAGGUUUCUAGCAAGAACGAUUUCUUACCUACGUAUGACCACAACGUGAUUUGCCAAUUUCUAUUUACCCUUCAUAAGGACCCUUUUCAUCGAAUCCGUUCCGACUAAAGUAGGAGAGACAGACACCCGCUAGCCACCUUAUGCAACUAGUGCAUGUCAGUCGGUGGAACCUGUCUCACGUAAGCGUACGUGUAAGGUCGGUCCGGGCCGCUUCAUCCUACAAUGCCGCCGAAACAAGAAACGACUAGUAGCGGCAAGAAGAAUUGGCAACAUCAACGCCCACAACUUCUUUGUGUUCUACUCGUGCAUAGUAACUACGCAUAGGCCUGGCUCUGAUACCACUGUUGGGAAUCGUAGCAUAAUUUAAAAUUUUCCUACGCUCACCAAGAUGCAUCUAUGGAGUCUACUAGCAACAAGGGGAAAGGAGUGGAUCUACAUACCCUUGUAGAUCGCGAGCGGAAGCGUUCCAAUGAACGUGGAUGACGGAGUCGUACUCGCCGUGAUCCAAAUCACCGAUGACCGAGUGCCGAACGGACGGCACCUCCGCGUUCAACACACGUACGGUGCAGCGACGUCUCCUCCUUUCUUGAUCCAGCAAGGGGGGAGGAGAGGUUGAUGGAGAUCCAACAGCACGACGGCGUGGUGGUGGAUGUAGCGGCUCUCCGGCAAGGCUUCGCCGAGCUUCUGCGCGCGAGAGAGAGGUGUUGCAGGGGAGGAGGGAGGCGCCAAAGGCUGUAGUGUGCUGCCCUCCCUCCCCCCCCCUUUAUAUAGGCCCCCAAGGGGGGGUGCGCAGCCCUUGGAGAUGGGAUCUCCAAGGGGGGGCGGCGGCCAAGGGGGAAGGGGUUGCCUUGCCCCCCAAGGCAAGGGGAAACUCCCCCCUAGGGUUCCCAACCCUAGGCGCAUGGGGGGGAGGCCCAAAGUGGCGCCCCAGCCCAUUAGGGGCUGGUUCCCCUCCACUUUCAGCCCACGGGGCCCUCCGGGACAGGUGGCCCCACCCGGUGGACCCCCGGGACCCUUCCGGUGGUCCCGGUACAAUACCGAUAACCCCCGAAACUUUCCCGGUGGCCAAAACUGGACUUCCUAUAUAUAAUUCUUCACCUCCGGACCAUUCCGGAACCUCUCGUGACGUCCGGGAUCUCAUCCGGGACUCCGAACAACUUUCGGGUUUCCGCAUACAUAUAUCUCUACAACCCUAGCGUCACCAGACCUUAAGUGUGUAGACCCUACGGGUUCGGGAGACAUGCAGACAUGACCGAGACGCCUCUCCGGUCAAUAACCAACAGCGGGAUCUGGAUACCCAUGUUGGCUCCCACAUGUUCCACGAUGAUAUCAUCGGGUGAACCACGGUGUCGAGGAUUCAAUCAAUCCGUAUGCAAUUCCCUUUGUCAAUCGGUAUGUUACUUGCCCGAGAUUCGAUCGUCGGUAUCCCAAUACCUUGUUCAAUCUCGUUACCGGCAAGUCUCUUUACUCGUACCGCAAUGCAUGAUCCCGUGACUAACGCCUUAGUCACAUUGAGCUCAUUAUGAUGAUGCAUUACCGAGUGGGCCCAGAGAUACCUCUCCGUUUACACGGAGUGACAAAUCCCAGUCUCGAUCCGUGCCAACCCAACAAACACUUUCGGAGAUACCCGUAAUGCACCUUUAUAGUCACCCAGUUACGUUGUGACGUUUGGCACACCCAAAGCACUCCUACGGUAUCCGGGAGUUGCACGAUCUCAUGGUCUAAGGAAAAGAUACUUGACAUUGGAAAAGCUCUAGCAAACGAAACUACACGAUCUUUUAUGCUAUGCUUAAGUUGGGUCUUGUCCAUCACAUCAUUCUCCUAAUGAUGUGAUCCCGUUAUCAAUGACAUCCUAUGUCCAUAGUCAGGAAACCAUGACUAUCUGUUGAUCAACGAGCUAGUCAACUAGAGGCUUACUAGGGACAGGUUGUGGUCUAUGUAUUCACACAUGUAUUACGAUUUCCGGACAAUACAAUUAUAGCAUGAAUAAUAGACUAUUAUCAUGAACACAGAAAUAUAAUAAUAACCAUUUAUUAUUGCCUCUAGGGCAUAUUUCCAACAUCUGGCCCAUGUCACAUAGCCCGGAUGCCCCGGGACCCCAUAAUCCAGGACUCCCUUAGUAGCCCCUGAACCAGGCUUCAAUGACGAUGUGUCCGGCGCGCCGAUUGUCUUCGACAUUGCAAGGCGGGUUCCUCCUCCGAAUACUCCGAAGCAGUUUGAACAGGAGAACUAUAUCUGGCUCUGUAUAACAAUUACAACCCCGAACCACAAGAGCAAAACACUUAAACAAAAUAAGUCAUGUCUACUGACAGCUUUCUCGGUGAGACGUUAUGCCUGGCCUUAUUAUUAUUUCGAACCAUUUUUAGCCUCCCGCUUCGCGUUUCGAGGCGCGGUCUUCAUUGACACGUCUUGUCAAAGCAGAGAUCUUGUCUCCUUAUUGCGGGAUUCUCAUCAAUACGGGUUUGGGUAAUCCAACCGUGCCGUUUGCACGACCCCUUGGGAAUAGGCGAGUUUUAAUGCUCGUGAGGGGGGCGCCUAAUAUUCACUGCCUUUAUAAGAGGAUAAGGAUCCAUCUUUUUACCUCACGCCUUCUUCUUCCUCAGCCCAUCCACCAUCGAGCUCCAGGGCCCAAGUUUCGAUCUUUUACGUCCCCACCAAACACUCCAGCCAUGUACGAUCUGGCGCGUAGGGCAAGUCGAUGGCUUCCUCCGUCACGGAGGGGAACGUCAAGGAACUCCGGGAAGCGGGGUACUUGGCCGCGGACAUCGCCCACUGGCUCCCUGCCAAAAAGCAGAUCAUCCCCACUCCGGAGCUUAAUGAGAGGGUAGUGUUCAUCCCCCACUUUCUCCGCGGGCUAGGGUUCCCCCUCCACCCUUUCAUCCGUGGCCUCAUGUUCUAUUAUGGGCUAGAUUUCCACAAUCUAGCCCCGAAUUCCUUCCUCAACAUUUCGGCGUUCAUCGUCGUGUGUGAGGCAUUCCUCCGCAUUUCCCCCCACUUCGGCCUAUGGCUCAAGGUCUUCAACAUGAAGCCGAAAGUGGUCGAUGGUCAACAUGCAGAGUGUGGCGGCGCCAUGGUGAGCAAGCUCCCCAACGUCACCGGGCCCAAGGGGGCCUUCAUGGAAACCGUGAAGGGAUGGCAACAGGAGUGGUUCUACAUCACGGAACCUCGCGACGCCAAAUGGGCCGCCACUCCUGAGUUCAAAUCCGGGCCUCCAAUGUGGCUUACGUCGUGGAUUAACAAGGGCCUGGAUUGGGCGUCGUCCGACGAGGUGAUGACGCUGCAGAAGCGUGUCAAGAGUAUGAUAGAGAAGAACACCAGUCUUGCCGAUGUGAUCCAGGUGAUGCUUUUUGUCGGUGGGAAACGACACCUAUGGGAUCACAAGAAUCCCUACUACGGUUGCCGGGGCGCAGGGUUGCAAGAAGAGCAAGAUUAGUAAUCAGCACAAGGAUCGUUUACCCAGGUUCGGGCCGUGAGGAUGCGUAAAACCCUAGUUCUGCUUUGGUGGGUGUAUUGAGUGUUCUUGAGCCCUUGAACUAGCUACGGUGGCUGAGUAGUUCCAAAGAGCCGAAUCCUCCUCCAGUAUGCCAUGGGCCUCCUUUUACAGUCGAAAGGGGCUGCCACAGUGGCACACAGUAGGUGGAAAGGCGUACAAUGCUACGAGCUUAUCGCUCGUAUUACAGGACAAUAUGCAUUUAAUGCGCCGCUAAGGUGUCCCCUAGAUUUAUCGGGGGCGGGAGCGAGGCCCGUCCCGUCCGUCGCCACUCCUCCUCGCUUCGACACGCGCCCUGGCAAGCGAUGCGUGCGACGCCAUGUAGGCAGGCAGGCAGCUGAGGUGGCGCGGCGGUAGGGUCUUCACGAAGAUCUGCAUGCCGCCACGCAUGUGCUUGCUGAUCUAGUCUGGGAGCUGCAUGUUGCCACGCAGGUGCCAGCCCAGCUGGUUGGGCUGGCAGCUGCAUGCGAACGGUGGUGGAGACUUGGCUGGUGCGGGCCUGGCAGUGGCCCUGUUGGCGUCCUCGGUGAGGGCCUUGCCGGGUGGCCCGGCAAGGGUCUUGCCAUGGCGCGCUGUCGUCCUCGGCAAGGAUCUUGCCGGGGGUCUUGUGGCUCUCCUCGGCAAGGAUCUUGCCGAGGACCGUUGUCUUUUAAUCCUCAUCUGAUCUUGAAUAUUCCUUGGUCUUGACAAAGAUCUGCAUGCCACCAUGGAGGUGCCUCCCGAGCCCUAGUUCCAACGUGGUUGGUUGAGUUGGAACCCGUGGGCUCGAGGGUGGCUCACUCCACUGGUGUGGGCGAGCCGCCCCGGCAAGGGUCUUGUCAGGGCUGCUGAGGCUGCCCUGGCAAGGGUCUUGCCGGGGGAACCUGCUUCGUCUCUCUGCUCUUUUGUGCUUCUUGGCCUUGGCGUUGCCUUGGCUGUCUUGUACUUCGACUUCUCUCUGGCUUCCCUCCCUUGCCCUGCUUCGUGUGGCCGCGGCGCGUGGUUCUGACUGCCCGUGCACCAGUAAAGGGGUCAAAAGGAGAGCCCCUACUUUUGUACACCGACAGGAGCCCCCCGGCCUGGGCCACACAUAAGCGCGACACGUUGUUGGGCCAGGCCCAAAACGGUGCGCGGGCAGGCGGGGCGGAUUUUCACCGCAGUAACUCUUCGUCCGCUGUGCUUCCCCACGACCCGCGUUGAAUGCGCGACGUGGGAAGGGGGCGUGCGUGACGUGGGCGGCAUGCGUGGGGUGGUUUCUGCAGGCAUGCGUCACAUCGCGAUACAGGGGCGGCUCGUGCCUUCCCCAUGAAGAGGGAGAGGCAUAAAGGCGCGGCCCAUUUACUGAAUGGGGCCGGGUCACGGUCUUCAAAGCGUCCACACCCCACGAUCACGGGGUGGGGAUAGGUCGCUUCACCCAUCCCCUCGGUUCUGCACGUUCACCGGCCCACCCUUGGGUAGCCACCGAGGUGUUCUCUUGGUGCUUUUUGCUGCUCGUAGCUCGCCUAGGCGCCCCUUUUUCCCUUUCGCCUUCUUGACCUGCCUCCUGAGGAGAGGGAUAAGAAAGGGAUUACGGGCAUCUCAUCUCUUUUUUAGUUUGUAAGCCUUCGGGCCUUCGUUAAAUUUAGAACUUGUAAUCCCCUUGCUCAUGUUUUUCAUUCCGUAUGAACUGUACCUGUGUGGGAUGUUUUUAAUGAAAAAGGGACGUUUGCCGGGUUUUUCGUUCGUGGGUGGACCCUGCGACAAGGAGCGAAUCCUUGUUACUAUUUAAGAUAAACGUUUUUCGCCCGGCAACAGGCCUUGCCGUCCCCCUCACUUCGCUCGACCAUUCUCGCGCCCUUGGUGGAGGCAGGGAUGAAGUGGGCUUAGGCUCCUUGUUCUAUCUCCUUGCCGCGGCGGCUACAACCAAAUCUGGACCCAGGAGAUAAUCCUUAGGUAUAGGAAAAAGGGGAGCACGGUAGCCUGGAGAUAAAACGAGGUUUCACAUGUCCCAGUUCUGUACCAAAAUGCAUGACAGAGGAUGAAAGACUUAUCUGGAUCUGCAGCCCCCAGCAACCUUGUCUUGCCGCGGUUGGAUCCUUGUACUUGGAGCCCCCGGCAACUCUGGUUUGCCGGGGUCGAGACGCCGGUCCGUUCCCUUUCUUCCAAGUAGCUCAGCAGAAGUGCCCAUGUGCCCUGUGAACCAAAGGAGGGCAAAAAAGGACAGAGAGACGCGCACUCGACCUCUAGGCUAGGGGUUAGUUGCCGCUAAGCACUAUCAACCCUAACCAAGGAAGAGACUCGACCUAGCAUGCAUGCUAUAACUUAGGGCGCCAGCGCUUCAUUUAUUUGUGCUCAGGGUCUGCGCCUAGCUUUGUACAAAGGGUUACAUGCCUUGCCGGCAAGGCUUGUACAAAAGGUGGCUUGUCGGGGGGCCCGGCAAGCCGCGCCUUAUGGGUAAAUUUUGCAAAGAUGCUCGAUGUUCUAGGAGUUGCUCACUGGAAUAGCAUCUUCGGUCUCCAGGUGGACUGCGCCAGGCCUGGUGACUCGUAUUACCCGAUAAGGGCCUUCCCACUUCGGCGUCAACUUGUUGGAAUUCUUGGCCGACUGAACGCGCCGAAGAACAAGGUCGCCUUCCUCAAAGCUUCGGGCAUGAACCUUGCGGCUAUGGUAGCGGCGCAAGUCUUGCUGGUAGCAUGCUACUCUCACAGCCGCCCGAAGACGAUCUUCCUCAAGGAGCGUCGCGUCAUCUUGCCGCAACUGCUCUUGCUCAAGAUCACCAUAAGCGAGCACUCGAGGUGACCCGUAUAUGAGUUCCGUGGGGAGAACUACCUCCGCCCCAUAUACUAGGGAAAAGGGUGUCUGACCGGUGGCUCGAUUUGGCGUCGUCCUGAUCGACCAAAGAACCGCCGGCAACUCAUCAAUCCAGCGCCUUCCGCUCUUGUGCAGCAUGUCAAAGGUCUUCGUUCUUAGGCCUCGCAACACUUUAGCAUUCGCCCUCUCUGCUUGGCCGUUGCUCCGGGGGUGUGCCACGGAAGCAAAACAGACCUUGCUGCCGAGGUCUUGAAUGUACUGCAUGAAGGUGUGGCUUGUGAACUGCGUGCUAUUAUCGGUGAUGACUCUGUUUGCCACACCAAAACGGCAGACUAGUCCCUUGAAGAACUUGACGGCUGAGUGUGCUGUCACCUUCCUCACAACUUGUCGUUUGCAAUGUACAAGUACUCAAAGCCCCCGACAGCACAGGGGAAAGGGCCCAGUAUGUCGAGCCCCCAGACCGAGAAUGGCCAGGAGAGAGGGAUCGUUUGAAGGGCUUGAGCUGGUUGAUGAAGCUUCUUUGAAUGGAACUGACAUGCUUCACACUUGGUUACUAGUGUCGUCGCAUCCUGGAGGGCGGUGGGCCAGAAGAAACCUUGCCGGAACGCCUUGUCGGCAAGGGCCCUCGACCCUAUGUGGGAGCCACAUAUGCCUCCAUGUAUCUCUGCCAACAGCUCCAGUCCUUCCUCCCGGGGGAUGCACUUAAAUUUCACACCGUUCGGCCUUCUCCUGUACAGGACGUCAUCGACGAACUAGUACAGGGCAGACCGACGGGCUACUUUUUCCGCUUCUUCCUGCUCCUCAGGAAGUUCCCCUGUUUGGAGGAAUCAGACAGUAUGCUGCGCCCACGCCGGAGCCUGGGGCUCGACGACAAGGACCAAAGGCAUUUCCUCUGCCAUGGGAGCGGUUGUCUCCACGGCCAAGGCUUGACGCCCUGCCGGAGCCAGUUGCUCUUUGGCAGGCUCAGCGUCCACGGCAGCAUCCUUGCCGGCAGCCCCAGGGGGCUUGGCGGGAAAGUACUUGCCGGGACCUGAUUUCCUUGGCUUUUUUCGCCCCGUUGACGGUUCGACGGAUGGCUGAGUUAACCGGAGCAAAAAGGUACCUGGCUCCACAGGUAGCUUGAAUGCAGCACGCUUCGACAGGUAAUCGACGAUGUCGUUCUCCGCUCGGGGAACGUGCUCCGCUUGGAUACCGUCAAAGCGCUCCUCCAGCUUCCUCACUUCAUCUACGUAGGCCUCCAUCAAUGGGCUCUGGUAAUCCUUGUUGACUUGUCUGACGACAAGCUGCGAGUCACCCCUGACGGUGAGCCUCUUCACCCCGAGGUCUGCCGUAAUCCUGAGACCGGCAAGCCCCUCGUACUCAGCAGUGUUGUUUGUGGACAUCUCCCUGGGAAAGUGCAUCUGGAUCACGUACUUGAGGUGCUCUCCGGUGGGUGCGACAAGCAGCACACCGGCACCGGCGCCUUGCAGCAAGAAAGCCUCGUCAAAGUACAUGAUCCAGUCGCGGUCCGCUUCCUUGCCGGGGCGAGCGGUCUCUUGGAUUUCUUCGUCAGGUGUUGAGGUCCAUUCCGCAAUGAACUCUGCCAAGAUUCUGCUCUGGAUUGUUGAGGUACUUUCGAACUUCAACCCAAAGCUUGACAACUCCAAGGCCCAUUCCACAAUCCUUCCGGUUGCAUCUAGGUUGUGCAGUAUCCACUGUAACGGGAGGCGGGUGGCGACAGUGAUCACGGGAGGCGGGAGGCGGGUAAUGACACAGCUUCCUCGAGGCCAUAAGGAGGCAGAAGAGCAAUUUCUGCACACCGGAGUACCUCGACCUAGCCCCCUGCAAGAGGGAGCUGACAAAGUAAACCGGGUGCUGCGUCAUCAUCUUCUUCUGCACCACUUUGUUUGACUGUGCGGGCGUUGCCCUGAUGGCGUCAGACUCUGCCGGGGGCCUUGCCUUGCCGGCACCAGGCCCUGCCGGGGGAAUCUUUGGCUCGUUGUCCACUGGUUCUGCCGUCGCCAUUGCCUCCUCGUCGACCUCCCUCUGUGCCACCAAUGCGGCGCUGACCACUUGAUUCGUCGCCGCUAUACAACAGCAACAGUUCUUGUGGUUUAGGCGCAACCAGUAUCGGCGUGGAGGAAAGGUAUUUCUUCAGAUCCUGCAACGCCGCCUUGGCUUCUGGGGUCCACUCCAUCGGGCCUGCCUUCUUCAAGAUUUUGAAAAAGGGAAGGGCGCGCUCGGCGGACUUGGAGAUGAAUCGGCUCAUGGCGGCGGCGCAACAGGUGAGCCGACGCACAUCCUUGAUCCACUUGGGCGCCUCAAUCUGUUCAAUAGCCUUGAUUUUGUCUGGGUUUGCCUCGAUCCCGCACUGCGACACAAAGAAUCCGAGAAGCUUGCCGGACGGAACGCCGAAGACACACUUCUCAGGGUUCAGCUUAAGGUUGAUCUUGCGCAGGUUGGCAAAUGUCUCUUCCAGAUCUUGCACAAGAGUUGCCCCGUCCUUGGUUUUGACCACUAUGUCAUCCAUGCAUGCCUCCAUAUUUCUAUGGAGCUGGGGUUCAAAACCGAUUUGGACUGCUCUUGCAAACGUCGAGCUAGCACUCUUCAACCCGAAAGGCAUCCGUAAAAAGCAAUACGUACCACAUGGGGUGAUGAAUGCUGUCUUCUCUUCAUCUUCUCUUGUCAUGAAGAUUUGGUGGUAGCCCGAGUAGGCGUCGAGGAAUGACAGCAGAUCACACCCGGCCGUGGAGUCGACAAUCUGGUCGAUGCGCGACAACGGGAAGGGGUCCUUAGGACAAGCCUUAUUGAUAUCUGUGUAGUCAAUACACAACCUCCACUUCCCAUUUGCCUUGUGCACCACUACCGGAUUUGCCAACCACGUCGGAUGGAGCACUCCUCUCACCAAACCCGCCGCUUCCAACCUCCUGAUCUCCUCUGUGAUGAACUCCUGCCUCUCCAGAGCCUGCUUUCUGACCUUCUGCUUGACGGGCCGCGCAUGAGGACAUACAACUAGGUGGUGCUCAAUCACCUCCUUGGGAACACCGGGGAUGUCGGAUGCUUGCCACGCAAACACAUCGACAUUCGCCCGCAGGAAGGUGACGAGCGCGCCUUCCUAUUUGCUGUCGAGGGUGGAGCCUAUGGUGAAAGCCCCUCCCGUGCCAUCCUCCCUGACGGACACCUUCUUGGUCUGCGGUGGCUCAGCUCUGGAUUUCUUGCUCUUGCUGGUAGAGCUCUCUGGCACGUCCUCGACGGUAGCACAACACUCCGAGGAGGUGCGCUUGCCGGAGUGGGUGCGAGAGGUCUUGUCGGGCUUCUUCUUCCCUCCCGGGGCUUCAGCGGCGGGAGCAAGUGCCUUGGCGGCAGCUGCUGCAACUGCUUCCCGGUAGAGUUGGUCGGCGCAAAUCAGCGCAUCCUUCUUGUCGGAGGGGACGGAGAUGAUGGUCAACGGCUCAGGCAUCUUCAGCAUGUUGUAGGCGUAGUGCGAUGCCGCCAUGAACUUGGCUAGUGCCAGGCGGCCGAGGAUCCCGUUGUAGGGCAAGGGGAUCUCGGCCACGUCGAAGACGAUCCUCUCCGUCCUGUGGUUCAACUCCCCUCCAAACGUCACGGGCAGCGUGACCUUCCCCUUCGGCUGGCUCCUCCCUGGAUUGACCCCUUGAAACGUGCCUGUUUCCUCGAGGUCUCCAUCAGGGAUUUGUAGCCUUUUGAUCACGACAGGCGAGAUCAAGUUCAGACCGGCCCCGCCGUCGACCAACAUCUUGUUCACCUUGAGGUUGCGUAUUGUUGGCGAGACCAACAAUGGCAAACACCGACUGCGGUUGUGCGGUCAGGGUGGUCUUCGGCAUCAAAGAUGAGGGGCGUGCUGGACCACUUCAGCGGCUUCUGAGCGUCGAACGUCGGCUGCGCUGCUGUAAUCUCACGCACCCACUACUUGAGCUGGCGGUGAGAAGUAUGCAGCGAGGCGCCACCGUUGACGCACAUGGCCUCUGUAGCCUUCUGGAACUCUUGCUCGUCGGACUCGUCGUCCUCGUCAUGAUCAUCGUCUUCUUGCUUCUUGUCACGGCCCCGGGCGGGCCUCUCUUGCUGACUGUCCUUGUCGCGGCGGCCUCCUUGGCCGCCACGCUUCUUGCCGGAUCCCUCGGCACCGUCCUGGCCCUUCUCCUUGUCCCGCCUCUCAUACUCGGCCUUUUGCUUUUCAGCAAGUAGCUCGACUUGCCGGCAGUUCUGGAGGUCGUGGCCCUUGGUGCGGUGGAUCUUGCAGUACUGCUUGCCGGAGCCCCUGGCUUGUCGGCAGCUGCUAAGGCCCGGAAGGUGACGCACCCGGCAAUCUCCUUGCCGGGGUCGUCUGCCUUGACCUUCUUGGCAGCGCCGGUGUCGUCAGACCCUUCAACGGCAAGCACGGCCUUGCCCUUGCGUUUCCUGUUGCGACGCCGACCCUUCUUCGUCGGGGCAGCGGUGUCUUCAUCAGUAGAGUCGGUUCCCGCGUACUUCCUUCACUCUUCAGCCCGGGCGCACCUAUCGGCCAGAACAUAGAGUUCGGCCACAUCCUUAACCUUGGUCAUCACCAGCUCUUUGCGCAUCUUGCGGUUGCGCACAUUCUGAUGGAACAUGCUGAUCACAGCGGCGGGAUGGACGUCGGGGAUGUUGUACUGCACCCGGCUGAAUCUCUGGAUGUACUUGCGCAGGGUUUCCCCUUCCUUCUGGGGAAUGAUAUGCAGAUCACUGGCCUGGCCAUGAGCUUGGUGGCCUCUAGUGAAGGCGCCAACGAACUCAUGGCACAGAUCCGACCAAGAAGAAAUGGAAUCCACCGGCAAGUGCAUCAACCAAGACAUAACAUUGGGCUUCAGUGCCAACGGGAAGUAAUUGGCAAGCAUCUUGUCGUCGCGAGCUCCGGCAGCCUGCAUCGCGAUGGUGUAGAUGCUGAGGAAUUCGGACGGAUGGGUCUUGCCAGUGUACUUCUCGCCGACGUCAGGCUUGAACGUGCGGUGGGACGGCCACUGGAACUGCCGCAGCUCGCGGGUAAAGGCUGGGCAGCCCACCUCGUAAGGUAGGCCACCGGAGCCCCCCGGCGCUGGGUGGUCCAUAGCGGGUCCCGCCCGCUUGUCCGACUGGUGGCGUGUAUUGAUACGUCUCCAACAUAUCUAUAAUUUUUGAUUGUUCCAUGCUAUAUUAUAUUCUGUUUUGGACAUUAAUGGGCUUUAUUAUACACUUUUAUAUUAUUUUUGGGACUAACCUAUUAACCGGAGGCCUAGCCCAGAAUUGUUGUUUUUGGCCUAUGUCAGAGUUUCGCAGAAAAAGAAUAUCAAACAGAGUCCAAACGGAAUGAAACCUUCGGGAACAUGAUUUUCAGAACGAACGUGAUCCAGAGGACUUGGACCCUACGUCAAGACAUCAACCAGGAGGGCACGAGGUAGGGGGGCGCGCCUACCCCCCUGGGCGCGCCCUCCACCCUCGUGGGCCCCAUGUUGCUCCACCGACGUACUUCUUCCUCCUAUAUAUACCUACGUACCCCCAAACUACCAGAUACGGAGCCAAAAACCUAAUUCCACCGCUGCAACCUUCUGUACCCGUGAGAUCCCAUCUUGGGGCCUUUUCCGGAGCUCCGCCGGAGGGGGCAUCGAUCACGGAGGGCUUCUACAUCAACACCAUAGCCUCUCCGAUGAUGUGUGAGUAGUUUACCUCAGACCUUCGGGUCCAUAGUUAUUAGCUAGAUGGCUUCUUCUCUCUUUUUGGAUCUCAAUACAAUGUUCUCCCCCUCUCUUGUGGAUAUCUAUUCGAUGUAAUCUUCUUUUGCGGUGUGUUUGUUGAGACCGAUGAAUUGUGGGUUUAUGAUCAAGUUUAUCUGUGAACAAUAUUUGAAUCUUCUCUAAAUUCUUUUAUGUAUGAUUGGUUAUCUUUGCAAGUCUCUUCGAAUUAUCAGUUUGGUUUGGCCUACUAGAUUGAUCUUUCUUGCAAUGGGAGAAGUGCUUAGCUUUGGGUUCAAUCUUGCGGUGUCAUUUCCCAGUGACAGUAGGGGCAGCAAGGCACGUAUUGUAUUGUUGCCAUCGAGGAUAACAAGAUGGGGUUUAUAUCAUAUUGCAUGAGUUUAUCCCUCUACAUCAUGUCAUCUUGCUUAAAGCGUUACUCUGUUCUUAUGAACUUAAUACUCUAGAUGCAUGCUGGAUAGCGGUCGAUGUGUGGAGUAAUAGUAGUAGAUGCAGGCAGGAGUCGGUCUACUUGUCUCGGACGUGAUGCCUAUAUACAUGAUCAUACCUAGAUAUUCUCAUAACUAUGCUCAAUUCUGUCAAUUGCUCAACAGUAAUUUGUUCACCCACCGUAAUACUUAUGCUCUUGAGAGAAGCCUCUAGUGAAACCUAUGGCCCCCGGGUCUAUUUUCCAUCAUAUUAAUCUUCCAACAACAAGCUAUUUCCAUUGCCUUUUAUUUUGCUUUUAUUUUACAUUGCAUCUUUAUCAUAAAAAUACCAAAAAUAUUAUCUUAUCAUAUCUAUCAGAUCUCACUCUCGUAAGUGACCUGAAGGGAUUGGCAACCCCUUUAUUGCAUUGGUUGCGAGGAUUUAUUUGUUUGUGUAGGUGCGAGGGACUUGUGCGUGGCCUCCUACUGGAUUGAUACCUUGGUUCUCAAAAACUGAGGGAAAUACUUACGCUACUUUGCUGCAUCACCCUUUCCUCUUCAAGGGAAAACCAACGCAGUGCUCAAGAGGUAGCAAGAAGGAUUUCUGGCGCCGUUGCCGGGGAGGCUUAUGCAAGGUCAAGUCAAGAUUUGGACUCCCGACAACGAGCCAUUUCUGGCGCCGUUGCCGGGGAGUCUACGCAAAAGUCAACAUACCAAGUACCCAUCACAAACCCUUAUCUCCCGCAUUACAUUAUUUGCCAUUUGCCUCUCGUUUUCCUCUCCCCCACUUCACCCUUGCCGUUUUAUUCGCCCCUCUUCCGUUCGUCUUUUUCGUUUGCUUGUGUUUCCAUGUGCCUUCUAUGUGCUUGCAUCUUCGCUUGCUAAAAAUCUAUUGUUAUGGAUCCUCAUCCCCUUGCUAACCUUUUUAAGAGAUCCAAUUAUGAUGAACCAAUUGCUAGUGAGUUUUGUGCACUAGAUUAUCUUUAUGAAGUUUUGCUUGAAAUUUGUGAAUCUGAAAAUUGUGAUGAAUAAAUUUAUGAAGAGAUUCACGAUAGCUCCUUGAAUAAAAAGCAUGAUUGCAAUGAUUUUACUAUAAAUUCUCUUGAUGUCAAUUAUGCUAAUAAUAUGUAAAACCCUAAGCUUGGGGAUGCUAGUUUUGCUAUGUUUACUACUUGUUGCAAUGAUCAUGAUUGGGGUGAUUCUUCUUUUGAUCUUGAAAAUUUAUUUAAGCCCCAUGAUGAGUAUGAGAUUGAUAAUAGUGUUUGCAAUAUUAUUGAAAGUGGGUUUGGAGAGAUCAUGACUUUAGUUAAUGUUAAUCCCACUAUUUUGGAAGAGUGUCAACUUCACAUGCAUGUGGAUCGUGUUGAAAAUAUUUUAUGUGAUAGCUAUUUUGUUGAAUUUUCUUAUGAUCCUACAUGUAAUUAUUAUGAGAGAGGAAAAUAUGGUUGUAGAAAUUUUCAUGUUACUAAAUUACCUCUCGUUAUGUUGAGAUUGCUAUUGUUUCUUUCCGCUUCCUUGCUUAUGCUAGUUUUUGCUUGCCUUGGUAAUUUGUUUGCCUAUAAGAUGCCUAUGCAUAGGAAGUAUGUUAGACUUAGAUGUGAUUGUAAUGUGUUUUAUGAUGCUUUCUUUGUGCUUUAAUUCUUGUCUUUGAUGUGAGCAUCAUUAAAAUUAUCUAUGCCUAGCUAGGGGCGUUAAACGAUAGCGCUUGUUGGGAGGCAACCCAAUUUUAUUUUUAGUUUUUUUUGCUUUUUGCUUCUGUUUAGGAAUAAAUAUUUGAUCUAACCUCUGGUUAGAUGUGCUUUUAUGUUUUAAUUAGUGCUUGUGCCAAGUUUAACCUAUAGGAUCUUCUUGGAUGAUAGUUAUUUGAUCUUGCUGAAAAUUGCAGAAACUUUCUGUUCACGAAAAUAAUUGUUAAAAAUCACCAGAACGUGAUAAAAUAUUGAUUCCAAUUGAUGAUGAUCAAUAAACAAAUUGUCUAGGUCUUCCUAUUUUUGCUGAAGUUUUGGAGUUCCAUAAGUUUGCGUUAGUUACAGAUUACUACAGACUGUUCUGUUUUUACAUAUUCUGUUUUUCGUGUGUUGUUUGCUUAUUUUGAUGAAUCUAUGGCUAGUAAAAUAGUUUAUAAACCAUAGAGAAGUUGUAAUACAUUAGGUUUAACACCAAUAUAAAUAAAGAAUGAGUUCAUUACAGUACCUUGAAGUGGUGUUUUGUUUUCUUUCGCUAACGGAGCUGACGAGAUUUUCUGUUAAGUUUUGUGUUGUGAAGUUUUCAAGUUUUGGGUGAAAGAUUUGAUGGAUUAUGGAACAAGGAGUGGCAAGAGCCUAAGCUUGGGGAUUCCCAUGGCACCCCAAGAUAAUCUAAGGAUACCUAAAAGCCAAAGCUUGGGGAUGCCCCGGAAGGCAUCCCCUCUUUCGUCUACUUCCAUCGGUAACUUUACUUGGAGCUAUAUUUUUAUUCACCACAUGAUAUGUGUUUUGCUUGGAGCGUCUUGUAUUAUUUGAGUCUUUGUUUGUUAGUUUGCCACAAUCAUCCUUGCUGUACACACCUUUUGAGAGAGACACACAUGAUUCGGAAAUUGUUAGAAUACUCUAUGUGCUUCACUUAUAUCUUUUGAGUUAUAUAGUUUUUGCUCUAGUGCUUCACUUAUAUGUUUUAGAGCACGGUGGUGAUUUUGUUUUAUAGAGACUAUUAUUCUCUCAUGCUUCACUUAUAUUAUUUUGAGAGUCCUACAAAACAGCAUGGUAGUUUGCUUUGACAAUGAUAGGCAUUCAAGAUUAGUAAAAAAAAUUCUUAUGAGUGUGUUGAAUAUUAUGAGAAGUUUGAUACUAGAUAAUUGUUUUGAGAUAUGAAGAUGGUGAUAUUAGAGUCAUGCUAGUUGAGUAGUUUUGAAUUUGAGAAAUACUUGUGUUAAAGUUUGUGAUUCCCGUAGCAUGCACGUAUGGUGAACCGUUAUGUGAUGAAGUCGGAGCAUGUUUUAUUUAUUGAUUGUCUUCCUUAUGAGUGGCGGUCGGGGACGAGCGAUGGUCUUUUCCUACCAAUCUAUCCCCCUAGGAGCAUGCGCGUAAUACUUUGCUUUGAUAACUUGUAGAUUUUUGCAAUAAGUAUAUGAGUUCUUUAUGACUAAUGUUGAGUCCAUGGAUUAUACACACUUUUCCUCCUUCCACCAUUGCUAGCCUCUCUAAUACCGUGCACGUUUCACCGGUAUCAUACACCCACCAUAUACCUUCCUCAAAACAGCCACCAUACCUACCUAUCAUGGUAUUUCCAUAGCCAUUCCGAGAUAUAUUGCCAUGCAACUUACCACCAUUUCGUCUAUUAUGACACGCUCCAUCAUUGUCAUAUUGCUUCGCAUGAUCAUGUAGUUGACAUCGUAGUUGUGGCAAAGCCACCGUUCAUAAUUCUUUCAUACAUGUCACUCUUGAUUCAUUGCAUAUCCCGGUACACCGCCGGAGGCAUUCACAUAGAGUCAUAUUUUGUUCUAAGUAUUGAGUUGUAAUUGUUGAGUUGUAAGUAAAUAAAAGUGUGAUGAGCAUAAUUGUUUAGAGCAUUGUCCCAAGUGAGGAAAGGAUGAUGGAGACUAUGAUUCCCCCACAAGUCGGGAUGAGACUCCGGACAAAAAAAAAGAAAAGAGGCCAUAAAAAAAGAGAAGAAAAGGCCCAAAUAAAAAAAGAGAAAAAGAG
rnacentral:lncRNA from 1 species